AGAGAAUUAAUGAGUUGUGGAAAAGAAUGUAAAAGGAAAGAUCCGUAGGGAUGUACUAAGUAACACUGAUCCGCCAUUGAUGAAAAAGGAAAAGGCAAAAAGGAAAGAGAUUGAACAUUGAAGAAAUCAGUGAUGGUUAAGAUCGGAAGAAGAUCUUUCUCUCUCACACGCAAUCCCAAAAAGAAAGUGAAGAAGAAAAAAAGGCUUCAAAUGGAAUAAUAAUAAUAAUAAUCACAAGCAAAAGUACAAACUCCAAAGCAAAGCAGAUCCUCCAGUUUAAUUCAAGAAAAAUCGGAUUCUGUAUAAUAUCAGUCAAUCGGAUUGGAUAUCGACGAUUAUCAUCAUCAACAUAUAUAUAUAUAUAUAUAUAUAUAUAUAUAUAUAUAUAUAUAUAUAUAUAUAUAUAUUUAUAUAUAUAAUAUCGAAUCCCUAAAUCUCCUAAUUUAUUUCAAUUUCAAACACAGAAGAAAUGAAAUCGGAUUUGACGGUUCACGCAAAUAGAUAAUUUUCUUUUUUGUCUUUGAUUCGAUUCAGAAAUUAGAAUCAACAAUCACCUGCUAAUGCUACGCUCUGCUGCCGAUGAAUCGUUCUUCGGAUUCCGUGCUGCUGCCAUUGGCCAUUGGGCGGCUUUCCUUUUUCGCUGCCGCCAUUUUUGCCCUACGCUUUCCUUUUUCUCUCUCUCGUCUACUCAGAAAAUACAACCCUUCGUUUACAUUUUAAUUUAUGUGAAAAUAUUUCAAUUUUUAAAAUAUUUAUAAAUAUAACCGAAUAUUAAAAUAGUCUGAUUAUUUUUAUAUAUUUGAAAAUAACUUUCUAUUUAUUAUCCUAUUUUCUUUUUACAAUUACCCAUUUGUGGUUUUAGUCUAUUUGUUCAUAAAGAAAAUAAGAGAAAGAUAUAUUUUUGGCCAUUGAUGUUUGAACUUAAUAACCAUUUUGUGUAUGAAGUUUAAAAACGAACACUAUCAAUGUUAAAUGGCCUAUAAAAUUAGUUAUUAGAAUAUUAAUUGACUAAUAGAAAAAUGACAUGACAUUGAUUGAAUUUUAGUAUAAUAAUUACUAUAUGGAGACAAUGUGAAUUAUGACCAAAACGCUUCAAUAAAAAACAUGUUAAGAUUUGAGAUUGGUGACUAAAUUUAAAUACCAUUUAACUUAUAUUAUAUUUAUUUUAAAUUUAUCCAUUUAUUACAAUCAAAUUCAAAAUUUUAUAUUCAAUAUAUAUAUAUUUAUUUAUUUUAGUUUAAUAUAAUCUAAAUGUUUAGUUGUUUGAAUUGAGUGGAGCUCGUCCUUCAACUUUAACUAAAUCUAGUUCUAAGCAUCAAUACAUAUGUUCGAGUCUAUCUAUGGUUGAAGAGGGAAAAAUGAUUGGAAGUGGUACUAAAUUAUUUUCUUGGGGUGUAACUUUUGAAGAAUGCAAGUGCACGCCCAAUUAUUUUGUUGAAAGUUGACAUUGCUAUUAAUUUCACAACAAAACAAGCUUGCAAGGAAAGAUUGAAAUAAUUACAACCUAUUACAAUCAAUGUUAUUGUAUAGGUAAAUAAAACUCUCUUUUUUCAAAAGAAUUCAAAAUUUCAAAAUAUAACUCUUAUUUCCUCUAUACAUUCAAACUUGUAUACCUAAAUUCAAUGAACUUGGCUAAUAUUUUCUUUAAAAUAAAAUUACUCACACGGUUACCGUUUCGAUUGUAUUCUCCCUAUCAUUCAUUGUGAGUAGUUGAGAGAGUAGUGUUUGUUGGAUGUUUCAUUUGAGAAACACAAAAACAAACGUUUGAAAUGUCCAAGCUUUUGUCGAUAACAUUGAAUUUUUUUUUACGAAUAAGACCUUGUGUUUAGACUUAUCGUUUAGACCAUAUUUCUUCCCUUAUGCGUGAUUUGAAGCUUACCUCCUCUACAUAUCAAUGUUGCUAUGUUUAGUGGUUCAAUAAUUCGUUAGUUCAAUGUUUUUAUUCUAUAUUGCUAAGAAACAAAAAGGAAUUGUAAAAAAUAGAAGAAUUGACAAGUUAUUUACAUCUCAUAUCAAAAAUUUAAUUCAAAUCCAAAAUAGAUAACCAAAAUUUUAACCAAAGUCCAAAGUAUCAAUUUUUCUUUCUAUAGGAUGUAAAUACUUUUACAUUUUCUUCUAUUUGACAUGCUUAUAUAAGUGAGAUUGAUACACAUUAGUAAGGCUAUUAAUUUCUAUUAUUAAUAAAAAUGUUUUGCUAUUUUAAAAAAAUGUUAACCUAACAUAUGGAUAUUAAUGAAUAUUUUAAAAAAAAUAAUAAAUAAAUAAAUGAUUUGAAUAAAAGUUUGAUAGUUUAGAUUUAUUAAGAUUUAGGGAAUGGUGCAAAAGGGAAAAAGAAGUUGAAAUGUAAUGAAUAGUAGUGGUCAACGGUGUGCGGCAGUUUGUAAAGUCAGUGGGCACAGCGCCUCCAAAACAAACACAAUGGCAUAUACUCAUAGAUCGUACUCUCAAUCUGCACACUUCUAUUACUCUCUCUCUCUCUCUUUCUCUUUCUUUUGUUUUGACCUAUCAUGGCGUCAAUUGACAAGUGGCCCUAUUCUUUAUCUGCGCUGGGAUUUCGAUUCUCUCUCUCAAAUCACAUUAAACAAACAAACCCCCUCUUCUCCGAUCUCACUGAAAAUUUUGGAUCCUCAGAAUCUCUGCUUUUACUCCUCCCCAUUAAUUAAACCAACCCAUUUUCCCCACUUAUAAGAUGACCCCAUUUUCCCUCUUCUUCCAUAGCCAACCUUUUUUCUCUUCUCUCUCUCUCUCUCUCUCUCUCUCUCUCUCUCUCUUUUCUCCCCAUGGCGACGGUUCCUGAUCUCUUCCGCCGCAACGGACUUGUUGGGUUUUCCGACGAGUCGAAACAGAGGAGUUCCGGUUCCACUCAGCUUCAUGUUCUUGCUGUUGAUGAUAGUUUUGUUGAUCGGAAGGUUAUUGAGCGGUUGUUGAAGAGUUCGUCAUGUGAAGGUAUAGAUUGUUGUCGAUGAUUGUUUUUGUUUAAUGCGUUGAUUUUCGAUGGGGUUUGUUUGAAUUGGAUUUGGUUUUUUUUGUUCUUUUUCUUUUGCAGUGACUGUUGUUGAGAGUGGGAGAAGUGCUCUUCAGUAUUUGGGUUUGGAUGGGGAAACUAACUCUGUUCAGUUUAGUAGUGUAAGAAAAUUUUCCCUUCAUUUUAGUAAUUGUUUGUUUAAGUCGAAAUGUUGUUUGAUCUUGAAUUGAUGAUUAGUUGUUGGGUUUUGUGUUGAUUUAUUGCUUUCAGGCUUUGAAGGUGAAUCUCAUUAUUACAGAUUACUCCAUGCCUGAAAUGACAGGAUAUGAACUGCUCAAGAAGAUCAAGGUUGGUUUCUUGGUUGAUUGGCUUGUUUUUUGUUCUUCUCACUCUUUCUAAAAUAAAUUGGUUCUUAGUUUUUGAAAGUUUCGUCCACUUCUAGAUUUGUUGCUUUGUUACCCACUUGUUACCCAAGUUGAAGGAAAAAAAACAAGCCAAAGUUUUGUUCUUCCAAUUUGGCUAAGAAUGAACUCUGUUAGUAAACCAUUGUAUGAAAAUUGAGAGAUACUGCACUUCGUAUGUUAUAUCAAUGGCUGAAAGAGGAUUGUUAUGAACAGGAAUCAUCAGCUUUCAGGGAGAUUCCUGUUGUGAUAAUGUCAUCAGAGAAUAUUAUGGCUCGUAUCGACAGGUAUAGAUACAUUCUCCCUUCUCUCUUGUUCUUGGAUUUACUUUUUCAUGGUUAACUUUAAAGCUGAAGAAUUGGGGUUUCAUUUUUCUUAUAGUUGUUUAAAGGAAGGGGCUGAAGAAUUCAUAGUAAAGCCAGUGAAACUGUCUGAUGUGAAACGAUUGAAAGAUUUCAUUAUGGAAGGAGAAAAUGGAGGGAAGAAAAUUGAUCUUAAGAGGAAACUCCAUCUCAAUCAUGAUCACAACCCAUUGUCUCCAGCCUCUCCAACGCCGUCGAUGACAGCGUUCGACCAAUGCCAAGGAUUCAAGCAACGAUCACCACCGUCGUUACGACCGUCCUCGAUCAUACAUUCAUCAAAGAAACCUAGGUUCCUCAAUGGCAACUAAUUCACAUGAUGGAAUUCAAGUGGUAAAAGCUCUUUGUUCUUUUUGUAUAAAAGUUGAUUGGUGUUGUUGGAAACUCAAAAUCCCACAUUUGCUGUUUCUCUUUUUCUUUUUUGGUUCAUUGCUGUUUCAAAGGUCUCAGAGAAGUAAAAGAAAAAAAAAGUACAUUGAAGUGUCAAUGAAAACACAAUAGACAAGUUUCGUAGCUCUGCUUGGUUGUUUGCUUUCUAGCUAUGUUUUGAUCUUAUUGCUUGUGGCUAUGCCACGAGGAGAGAUUCGAACGUUCACAGUAAUUAAACUCGACUCUUACAUUGUACAGUGGAUCGGGUCACAAACUUUCGAUUCAUUGAAACUUGUUGAUUUUGGAUUUAUUAUUUGUACCUACAAAAUCUUUUGUUCAUAAUAUAGAUUGUAAUACAACUAUGAGGGAUUGGGAAGUUAUUUGGAAAUCAAUCAUGAGAAUAAUUGACAUGGAUUAUUGGGGAGAAAUGUGUUGGAGUAAUGAUGGAAUUAUGUGGUUAUCAUUUUGAAAUCAGUUGCAACCAAUUGUUAAUUAUUUGAUUAAUUUAUUCCUUAUGAGAAUAAUGCAAAUGGAUAAUGGAAGAAAACUGUGGUAGUAUUAAUGGAAUAUAUAUUGAAAUUCAUCAUAUAUUUGGGUCAUAUUCAAUGUGAAAUUGGGAUAAACAUAUUGAAACAACCAUUAAAACAAUAAGUAAAAUCGAUGAGAUAGCAUCUAUGUCUAGGGUCUUUGACUUGAGAUCACCGGCUGCAAAAUGUUCAAAUACAUGAGUAAAGAUCCAACUACAAAUCUUCACUAAAAAGGCAAGAGAUUAGAGAUUUUGUUCAUAUAAAAUGCACCAAAAUGUCCAAAUACACGAGUAAAAAUCCGACUACAAAAUUCACUAAAAAGGAAAAAAUAUUUUUCAAAAGGAAACCAAAUAAAAUCUUUAUCCCAAUUGAUUAUUCUUCAAAAAAAUUCUUUUUGACUGUCAACCAAAAAAGUCAAAGCUGAACAAAACAAAAUUUCCGCAUCCAUGUGGCUUCUAACAAAGGGAAACAAAAGUGAUCUCAAGUUUCAAAAAAAAAAAUUCUUCUUUUUGUUAGUGUUGUACUAUAACAACAUUGUAAUGUAUAAAAGUCAAAUAAUAUCUAAGCUAGCGAUAUACUUUUCGAAAUCAUAUUAGGUACUCCCUGUUUGAUUGUAUGUUAAAUGCUUUCAACUAGCCCAAGCAAACAAGUUGAUGCAGCAAGUGAAGUUCGCCUUUCUUUUUUAGAUGCCCUCUUUAUGAUAUUUUGCAUUAGAACAUGUUGUCAACUCAAAUGGAUUGCAAAUGCACUAACUAAACACUUUAACCAAAUCUUUACUUGACUAAUACAUACAUUCUUCAUGGAUCCCCCACUUCUCAACCAACUGUCAUCCUAAAAUCUACAUGAAUGUGGAGAGUUUGAACAUUUAAACUGCAAUUCUAGUUGGAUGAACAUGUAGUCCAACUUUAUAAAUAGCAAUGUUAUCCUGGCAAAUUGCAAAGAAUCAAUUGAUUCCUAGGUUUCUUUGGAAAAGUAAUGAAAGAGAUGGAAAACAGAAAUGGUGCACAAGAAGCUUCCAAGGGAAAGGCCAACCCUGGAAAAGCUACGAUUUUGGCUCUUGGGAAAGCAUUCCCUCCUCAACUUGUCCUUCAAGACUACCUAGUCGACGGCUAUUUCAAGGACACAAGCUGCGAUGAUAUUGAUCUCAAGCAGAAACUCACUCGACUAUGUAAUUUUAAUCUUUCACUCUUUCUUCUUUUUUUUGGAAAUAUCUCAUACUUCAUUGAUCUGAAAGAACUGAAUGGAACUUCUAAGAUGGUUUUAAAAAAAAUUUACAAGUGCAUUAGAGUACUACUUCUCCUUUUUAACUGAAUUAAUCGUCAUCCUCUAAUAGUGUAAAUCCUUUAACAGGCAAGACAACAACAGUAAAAACUAGAUACGUGGUGAUGUCAGAAGAGAUCUUGAAGAAGUACCCAGAGCUAGCAAAGGAAGGUCAACCGACCAUAAAGCAGAGACUGGAGAUUUGCAACAAAGCUGUGACAGAAAUGGCCAUUGAAGCUUCACAAGCUGCCAUUAACAACUGGGGAAGGCCAGCUUCAGACAUUACCCACUUAGUCUAUGUUUCUUCAAGUGAAGCUCGCUUGCCUGGUGGUGAUCUCUUCCUAGCAAGGGGCCUUGGACUCAGCCCUCAAACCCAACGAGUCAUGCUUUACUUCACGGGUUGCUCGGGAGGCGUGGCAGGCCUUAGAGUCGCAAAAGACUUAGCUGAAAACAACCCAGGAAGCCGAGUCCUGCUUGUCACCUCUGAAACCACCAUUAUCGGGUAACUCUUUUAAUCACCUCCUAAAGCUCAUACAUGCUGUUCUCAGAAUUUUAAACAUAAACACCAAUUUCUUUACAGCUUCAAGCCACCGAGUGUAAAUCGUCCAUACGAUCUCGUAGGCGUGGCACUAUUUGGGGAUGGUGCAGGGGCGAUGGUAAUUGGGAGAGACCCUUUUUUGGGCAUUGAACGACCACUCUUUGAACUCCACACAACAACCCAGAAAUUCAUUCCAGAUACUCAGAACAUAAUCGAUGGGAAACUGUCGGAGGAAGGUAUUAGUUUCACAAUAACAAGAGAACUUCCUCAGAUAAUUGAAGACAACAUCGAAAGUUUCUGUGAGACAUUUCUUCAAACACUUGGGUUACAUGAGAAAGAAUACAACAAAAUAUUCUGGGCAGUACAUCCAGGUGGGCCAGCGAUAUUGAACAGGUUGGAGAAGAGGCUAGAACUGUUACCUGAGAAGCUGACAGCGAGCCGACGAGCUCUGAUGGACUAUGGAAAUGCGAGUAGUAACACGAUCGUGUACGUAUUGGAAUACAUGAUGGAAGAAAGCUUGAAAAUGAAGAUGGAAGGUAGGAAAAUUGAGGAAUGGGGAUUGAUUCUGGCGUUUGGACCUGGGAUUUCAUUUGAAGGGAUUCUGGCGAGGAAUCUUGCCGUAUGAGAAAAAUGAUAGAGUUGAUGCUUACUAUGAAUAUGAAAUUUUCAAUUUCUAUUGUGUGUUAGUUUUUAGAAAUGUUGAAUGGAAUGAUUUGUUUUGGUCUCUACGUUGUUAUCAUCCACCAAGCUUUUUGUAUAUUAUAAUUAGGAUAAUUAUAAAUAACAAUUUUAAGAAUAAUGAUAACAAAAUCUAUUGGUAAUAACUUCCCACAAUUUUUUUUAAAUAUAACAAUCUUAAUUAUUCCUUUAAUUUUAAAAUAUUAAGUCUAUAGAAUAAAACUAAACAACUCAUUUUAGCACUAUACAUCAAUUUUCAAAAAGUUAUAUAGUUAGUCACUAAUGUUGUAAUUUUAUCUUUGUUUCAAUUUAAUUCUUAGUUUCGAUUUUCAUUAAAUACCAAUUAAUAGACAUUAAUGUCUAUUAAUUGAUUUAAAAUAGUUGUGAAGUGAUGAUUGAAAUUUAGUUUUAAUAGUGAUACAUAAAUAAUCAAACUUAAUUAAUCAUACUCUUUUAGGAUGGAAGGUGAGUAUUUAGCUGAUGUUAAACCUUAAAAUGUAAAUCUUGAAAAAUCAAAACAAAAACAAAAAAAUGACUAAAUUUAAACCAAACUUAGAAACUAAAUAAAAAUUAGAUUUAAAGCUUAAAGACCAUAAUAAAACAAAAGUCAAUAAAAUUGUAACGGAUUAAAUUAAAAACAAACUCAAAAUAAAAGUCUUGAAUAUUUAAUAUUUUGAAAAAUGUGGACCAAAUAAAAAGUUAACAGAGGUGUAAAAAAGGAAAAAAAAUAUUUAUUCAACUCCGAACCAUUAAUUUUAUCAAUUUAGACCUUGUAUUUUUACAAAAACAUAAAUAUAAACUUCAAAUUUUAAUUUAAGUUUUAAAUUGAUACAUUGAAGCAAUAAUUAAUUUAAGAUUUAAAUUUAUACAACAUACAAAGUUUUAUAAUAUAAAUAUUUGUAUAUGGAAAAAAAAAACCAAAAACUUAUUGGUGGAAAAGGAAUUAUAAUUUUAGGAAAAGCAAUUCCCGAAGACGCAAACUCUCACAUGUGAAAGUGAAACAAACAAACAAAGUUGGAAAGUUCGUAGAUAUUGAAACUUUGAUUCCUUGACAAACCACUUAUAUUAAAUUUCUUGGAAAAGCACUGCCCAAUCCAAAACUACUUUUCCAAACGGAAAGACGACAACCAAUGAUUAACAAUUCCAUAAUAUACAAUCUUUUGUAUCAUAAAUUAUGAAGACCAAGACGUAGACUCAGAGCCAAAAGAGCAGAGAACCAUAAUCGGAGCUAAGGGAAAAAGAUGGCUCACCUGAAGCUUGAAGGCGCCAUUAAUUUGAAGGAAGAUCUCAUCGCAACCGCUUGCUCUGCCGCCAUUAAAGCUCACAAGCAUCCUGAGAAGCCAUUUCUUCUUGAUAAAACUAGAGAUUCCUCCAUCAUUAGCUUCGCCGGAUCUUCGUCGCCGGAAGCCUGGUUCUCUGCUUCCGAUUCGUCUUUUGGAGAAACCAAAAUCGAUACUCAGCUGUUUCCGUCAGUCAGGAGCAUCGGCGUCGAUGAUUAUGCCGUCGUCAAUUCCGCAUUUCUUCGGAGAUUCCAGGGGAUUUUGGGGAAGCUUAAGGAGGUACCAUUACUAUUAUUUGCCCUAAUUUGGUACUUUUUAUUCUUCACAUUUGCUUUCUUAAGUUAUUUAUUUACUUUCUUCAAUAAAUUUUGGCUAAUCUAAUUAUAUAUUUUAAUCUCAAAUUUUCUAUUUAAUAAUUUUCCAAAGUAUUCUUUUAUACUUUUUCUCAUUUCAGUUGGAGUAAUGAUAAGUUUCAAAUGCAAACUUAAUAAAUGCUCUUAAUUUGAUUCACUUAGGGGAAAUGGAGUUCCAUGAAAAUAAUUUUAAGUCCCACAAGGUUUGUUAUAUACUUACUCGUAGAAGUUUAAGAUGAUGAUAAAUUUAGAUAUUUCAUUAAAAUUAAAGUUAAAGAUGACUCUGCGUUCAAAAUUUUAAAUAAUAUGAUCUAAAUUGAAAAAAAAAAAAUCAAGUUUAGAGUGUUAACACUGUUAUAAAUAUUCUAUUAUAAAUUGCAAUAAAAAGCAUUUUUGUAUGGGUAGACUAAUAAUCGAGUAAGGAAACAUGACCUAUACAAAUAUAUUUUCAAAUUUUAGGAUGAAAAAAGAAAAAUUAUUAUAAAUAAUAAAACUGGAAGUCACUCAAAAUAUAUUUUGAUUUAUAUAUUUUGAUUCAAUCUAAACAGACCAUCAAUCCAAAUAGCCCUCAAUAAUCACCAAGAGGGUUGCUAUAUUUUGUAUUUGAAAAUCGUCUUGAGAUAACGAAUAGAUAACAAGUAGUUUUAUUUUAAAAAACAACAAUAAAUAGGCUUUCUUGAAAAAUAUAGGACAAAAAUUAGAUAUUUGAAGGUAUGAACACAAAAAGUUGAAUAAAAUUUUGCUUUGACAUUUUUGCAAUGCUAUGAUUACAACAAAGAUGAUUAGGUAUCGUACUCCAUAUUUAGAAAUUGCAUUAUUUCCCUAUGCAAUUUCAAUAAAUCCAGGCUUCCAACAAAACCCUAUCACUUCUCUUAACUAUUGAGGGAUUUCGUUUUCUCAGGUUCUGAGAGUGAACAAGUCUGUGGUGUUUACCGGCCACUCAGCCGGAGGUUCGAUAGCCAUUCUUGCAACCAUCUGGCUGUUGGAACAGCAAAGAAACCCAGACUCAAACCCAUACACCAACUUCACUCCUACAUGUAUCACAUUUGGAUCUCCCCUUGUUGGUAACUUCAUUUUCUACCAUGCUCUCAAAAGGGAGAAAUGGUCCACCCAAUUUGUGCACUUUGUCACCAGAUACGACAUCGUUCCACGAAUCCAUCUUGCUCCUCUGUCAUCCUUACAACCACAACUACAAACCAUCCUCAACUGCCUGAACUCGAGAUCACUUGGGUCAACAGUGAAUGGAAACGUAGCUACCGAAUUCUUUAUGACGGUGAUGAGGAAUGCAUCGGCUGUGGUAAGCAACGCUGCAUGUCGUCUCAUGGGAAACACUAACCUUUUGCUAGACACAUUGCAAAGCUUUGUGAAAUUGAGUCCUUAUAGCCCUUUUGGCACAUACAUUUUCUUCACUGAGAGUGAGAAAGCGGUGGUGGUGACCAACCCAGAUGCUGUUUUACAAAUACUAUUCUAUGCUUGUCAGUUGAGCUCUGAGAGCGAAUGUGAUCACAUUGCUCAACAGAGUUUAAAGGCCCAUUGGGGUUAUGAAUCUAAAAUGCAGCAAAACUUGGAGCUACUGCAUGCCAUUCGCCUAGAUGAAUUGGCUAAGCUGCCAUUGUCCUUAACAGGCAGGAACACGGCAAUAACUGAAGCAUUGAAUGAACUUGGCCUAGUAAGUUCUCUAAUCUUCUUGCUCUCUCCAUCUUUAUCUCUCAUAUUAUAUUCUUCGACUCCUAUACCUAAGAAGACAAAUACACAUGAAAUAUAGAUACAAUAAAAUACACCCAAUGUUCAAUGCACCAAAUCACAUUAUGAAAAGUAUCUAAAAGUAUCAAUACUGAUUUUUUGCCUUACCUAAAGGAUAAGGUAUCCCUAACGGGACUUGGUACAAUGAACUCUAACCAUCAAAUGUGAAAUUACAGAGUACAAGAGCUUUAUUGAAUCUUCGGGCAGCAGGCGCAUAUGAAGAGCAGAAAACGAGAAAUAAAGAAAGGAUGGAAGUAAAGAAACAGAAUAUCGAGGAUCAUUUGAAUUGGCUAGAAGUAGAUUACAGAGCUGUUUGUAAGGUUGAUGGUUUCGGAUACUAUGAUGUAUUUAAACUCCAGAAGGAUCCAAUAGAUUUCCAAGCUAAUAUCAAGAGACUUGAACUAGCAGGUAUAUGGGAUGAGACUGUAGAAAUGCUCAAAAGAUACGAGCUCCCAGAGGAAUUUGAGGGCGACGAUGAAUGGAUAAAACUCGGAACCAGGUUUCGCCGUCUUGUUGAGCCUCUAGAUAUUGCUAACUACUAUAGACAUUCAAAGAAUGAUGACACUGGUCCUUAUCUGAUAAAAGGAAGGCCGAAACGUUACAGAUUUACACAAAGAUGGCUUGAGCAUAAUAAAAAAAUGUCAGAUCCUAGUGAAGAAUCAACUCUUUGGGCAAAAGUAGAGGAGAUCCGUAUCAAAACCAAAACCAAAAUGUACGCUGAAUGUUCAAGAGAAAUUAUAGAGCUGGAGAGGAAGAUGAAGCGAUGGAUCAAUGAGAUUGAAGAUGAUAUGUUGUUAAAGAAAUCUACCUUCAUGGAGUGGUGGAAGACACUUCCUGAGCAUCAUAGAUCACAGUCUUGUAUUAAGGAUGACAUCGAGAGGAUGGUGAAUGACAACAAUGCCACUAACACAAUGUAGUCCAACAUUAAUAAGCCAUUGUACUUGAAAAAGACAAUGACAUUCCAACAGCAUCCCUUCUGUUUGUAUGAAUAAUCAGAACUUAUUUAAAAAAUGUCCCUAAUGUAAUGAACAUGUUCUGAAACAAUUUCGCUACCAAUUUUAUAAUAGUGUUGAGGCUAUCAACAAGAUAAUCAACAAGCACUAACCUUGUAAACUCUGACAGAAACGGCCAACCACCUGUGCUGACGGGCAGAGGCCUCGUUCAUGGUCCAUGGAGAUAAACCUUAAGAAAAAAGUACGACAAAUAUAGAAUAGAAUAACCAUUUAAAACAGCAGACAUAAAUUUGAGCAUGUUUGGAAUGACCUUUAAAGAGCUACAGAAGGGGUAUCCAAGCACUAAGAUAAUCAAUCCAAACUCCAUGAAUCCAAUCUCCAAUCUGUUCAUUUACAGAAAUUGUAAUAGUUUCCAAUAGAGACCACCAAUCAACAAUCAAUAUUUUCUAAAUAACUUGCACCGAGUAAGUCAAUAUCAAUAGCAAAUGAGUAGAGUAGGACCUCAUUGAAAGGAAGGAAGAUCACCAAUGGCCUAAUGAAUACAUGAUGUACAAGCUCAAAUGGUGAACGUUAUUCCUGUGAAGGAUCAACCAAUUACAUAAACUAUGAGAAACUCGUCGUCCAUGUCCUGCCCUGCCACUGCCAGUGAAGUACAGACGAAUGGUCUGACCAAAAUCGACGUUGCAUUUUCACCAUCCAAGGAAAACUGCCGGCUAAAUCACUGUCUUUCAAGCUUAGAUCACAGUUUCUUUAUUGUCUCUUUCAUGGAGACAAACAUUUUUUUAAGAACUGUUUUAUUCAAUUUGAAAAGUCAUAUGUAAAGACACAUAUGAGAGACACAGGAGUCCAUCUUUAAAGCAUAAGAAGCAUCAUAAAAAGGAACACCCACCCCCACCACACACAAACACACGAAAUCUCUUCCAAUAAGAAGAAUCAAGGCAAAGGUAAGGCUGCAAAGUUAAAACAGGCCAAAACCAAAAAGUUAAAAUAAGGGGUUUCCAAUCAUUGGACAUUAAAGAGUCAUUUUAAAUGACGAAGAUGUGUUAAGAUGUAUCAAACUAUAGAUUCUUCAAUAUCAAACCAUGCUCACUGUUAACUCUUGAGAAAAUGUUAUUUUACAUGUAUGUUGCAUUCAAGGUACACAGUCAUAAAAACCUAAUUAGCCUAUAUGUCUAAACUCUAAAAAGCAACACAAAUUGAGAUUUACUUAGGCUGAUUUCAAACUUCUUAUCCCAAAAUAAACAAGCAAAAAGACUUAUGUAACAUACAAUUUAUUGGCAAAUACAUGAACUCAGACAGACAGAGGAACGUGAUAAGUAGAACAGUUUCAGCAUAUAUGCAAAUACAAAUAAAUAAGUGGAAAAACCAAACGUUGUUUCAUUAUUCCAUGUAUUCAUUUCUAUACCACCUCGUCUAUUCACAUAUUAAGUACGAAAUAGGUCCUCUACAUUGGCAAAUGUACGAUAAGAUAAGAACCACACUCAUGUACGAAACAGUUCAGUUUAAAGGUUCUCAAUCUCAUAACCAUACUUCAACACCCAAAUGCCACUUCUAUUACUAUGAAAAUCAGAGCCCAAGACUAGCAUAAUACCCAAGACGCAGGAACAAAAGGAAAAAAAAAAGUGAGACCAGACGUACAUUAACUCACAGAAACUGAACACUACCUAAGACCUUGAAAUCAUGCUACAAGAACGAGCCAAUGGUAACGUUGGGCUGCCAGCAAGUACGUUUGUUUCAUUGUCGGCAGGAUCACGAUCAUAUGGCUUUCUGCAGCCAGGACAGCGCCCAUCCUCUUCAAGAAUCCUCUUAUGACAGAAAAGGCAUAGUCGAAAUCCACAGAAACAAGGUAAAAAACUUGAGUCUGUAAGGUCCAAGUCUUCAAAGCAAAUUGGACAAGAUGUAGGCACAGGAAUAACACCACCACAGGCCCAAGAGACCCCUCCACAUCCAAAACGCCGAUCUGUAGUCGGUAAACUAAGCUGUUUUGAUAACGUGGGCAAACUCUGAGGACGAAAGGCAUCAUCAGGCCUCCAUGCUCGGCAAUUCAUCGAAGCCCUCUGCACUAUUCUCCCACGCUCAACACUCGAGUCACCAUCUCCUACGCCCAACUCGUUUCUUCUGUCUCCACAAGAAUCCAAUUGAGAAAUAACAUUGCCUCUGGGGGAAGACUCUGAACAUUGAUCAUGUUGCUUGUCAGUGGCGGCUAGGGCAUCGGCAAUAGCCUCCCAAUCAUCCAAGCAGUCAUCAUCUCCUUCUUCUUCUUCCUCCUCCUCCGUUAUACUCCCUGAGCGACAGCCACUAGAGCUGCUACGGCAGCUACUACUACUGCUACUCCCAGUAAAAUGAGGACCCGAAUCAUUUCCACCCAAUAUACUACUGCCAAGACUAGGGGGGCUAUUAGACGGUGAGUCCGAAUAAUCGCUAUGGUGGUGGACCGAUCUGUCAUUCUCUUCUCCUAUUUCCCUCAUAUUUAUUUUUUCAGAGGAAAGGUCAUCAUCUUUCCUCGUUUUAAUAACCACUGAAUCCAGCCGAUUGUCUUCCUCGUUCCAUUUUUUGUUCUUUACAGCACCUAUCACUCGUGAACCCAAAUCGAUUAAAAACAAAUUCCCACAUGCAUCAAUCCCGUUUCAUAAACAUCUUCAAUCAAACAACAAAUUCAAACAUAAUUAAUGGUUAUACCUCGAGAAAGCCAUUGUUCCCGACGAACGUCAAGCUUGGAUUGCUUCAAUUUUGAAUUCCUAACCUGAAACCCCCAAAACAAAAACAAUCACAACAAAUUACAAGAAACAAAAACAAAAACAAUAAAAUAUCAACAAAAACAAACUCUACAUCAUUAAAAUCAAAAGAGAAAAAAAAUGAGAAGAUUUACGUUUGAACAAAGAGAGAGAAAGAGAGAGAGAGAGAGAGAGAGAGAGAGUCCUCACCCUCUUCUUCUUGGGCAGGGGCAAAUCCCGAGCGUUGGGUGCCAAAGAAAUUGAAGCAUUGGCGAUCGAAUCAGUAACCAUGAUUGAAGAGUUGAAAUCGAAUUGAAGGAAGAAGAACGAUGAGAAGAAACCCUAAUUUGUGUGGAUAUUUUUUUCCGGGAGAGAGAAAAAAUGGUUCGGGGGAGAGAAAGGGAGAGAGAAAGAGAAUGGAUAACGGAAACUCCUCUGCUUCGCUCGCUCUUUUCCACAGACUAGGAAAAAAACAGAGGGCCGAGAUUUCAUUUAAAUACCAACUAAUUUACCAUAAUAUCCCUCUUCUUUUCCUAAAUUUUCGUUCUUACCCACUCAUCCCCUCCCCUUCAUAUUGGCUUUAUAUUGAAGGGCGAAACAUCCUGCCUUCGUGUGCUUCCCCAAAGAGACGAUUUAAACGAUGACGUUUUCCAUUCCAUUUGAUUUGGGCCAUUUCUUGGGCCGAAAAAACCCCCAACAACUUCGGCCCUUUAAGGGAAAUUGAGAGGGGGAGGGAGGUUAGGUUUGUUUGGUAUGUUAAUGUGAUCCAUUUUCUUCCUCCUUUCCGAUCUAGGUUUUGAGGGUCCAACUCUGUUUUUAGAGGACGAUUCACUUAAAAACUAACUUUUUUUUUUUAUUGCUUAAAGUAAGAGAUUGAAAUCAUUGAAGCUCAUUCAGAAGAAUGAUCAAGUUGAGCUUUAUCUUAUCCAGUAACGUAUUUGUCUGAAACUCUUUGGAAGAGUUUGUAAGAUAAAUCUAACCUGAUUAGUCUGAUUAAUGCGUUCACCUUUUACUUCAACGAUGUUGAAUUGCAUCAUCAUGUCUAAGACAUGUUCUCUAACAAUUGUAUCUUCCUUCAUUCGCUUUGUGUAAAUAUAUUUUAUUACUUAAUGUCUUAGGGAGUAUGACUGUUGUUCGAACAUCUCCCUCAACAAGUUCAUAAUCGCUUUAGUUGUGGCUAAUGUCACACCUCGUCUCGCACGCGUUCUUAAAUUUAUCGUGCAAAACAAAACGUGACUUAAGCAAUAUAGAAAAAUGAACUAAAAUAUUUAUAAAAUAUAAUAAAAUUAUAGAAUCCAUCAAAAAUAACAUUGAUAGAAUAAAAAAUUGACCGUGUAUGAUAAAUCCAAACUUUUACUAUAUUUUGAAUCAUUUUAGUCUAUCUAAAAAUGUUCCAACUGUGAAUAUGUAUUUGAUACACUUGUUUUUAAAAUAUACUUAAAAAAAGGGUAUAUUUUAGAAAACAAUAAAACCACGUUUUAUUUUUUAAAAAAAAAUAUUAGAGAACACAAAACACAACAUUUAUAAAGAAAACAUAAAUAGAUUUUAAUCAAAUAAAUAUUUUCAACAUUUUCAAAUUUACAGUCAAACACAAUUAAAAAAAAUGAAUUCAAAUCUAAAGUUUUUAAAUUACAACCAAACAAAGAUGUUUUUAGAUAUGGUAAAAAUGAGAAAUUUAUUGUCAUAAAAAAUUAUUUCCAAAGUAAAAAAAUUGAACUAACAACCAAAUCCAACCUUUAUUUUUCAUUUUUUUAAAGUAAGAAUACUCUAAUUAAUUGGAACGUAUAAUGUAAGGACUCAAAAGGAGAAAAAUAGUACCUUAGAUAUAUAUUUUUAAAAAAUACAUUAAUCUAAGAAAGUACCUUAAUUAUAUUUUUAUUAUACAUAAAAAAACAUUAAUUUGAGAAUUGGGUUUUUUAUUUUUUAUUUUUUAAAAAAAAACCUAAAAUUAGGUUUUCUUACUUGGAGAAAAUGGAAUCUAAUAUUGGGGGGAAUUUCCAACAAUAUGUUAUGACCACAAGUUUCCUUCUUUCCAUUUUAAUAUAUCUUUUCUAAUAUAAAAAUAUUUUUUUCUUAAUAGAAAAAUACAAACUAAUUUAGUAAAAUCAUAUCAAAUGACGAAAACUUUGAAAAAAAAAUAGCUCAUAGUACCAAUUUUUUGGCAUAUUACAAAUAUGACAAAACUAGUGAUAUCAGUAAUCAUAGGGCUAACAAAGAGUCGUCAGUUUUAAAUUUGUUAUUUUUGCAAAUUUAGAAAAUGUUGUGACAUGGACUCUAUUAUUAUAAUUUCUUUUUGCUAAUUUUACAAAAGCCCCAACGAUUUACACAAAAACCACUAAAAGACAAAAACUCAUUAUAAUUAUUUUAUGAUUUUGUCAUAAAGUGUAAAUAGUUUAUCUAUUUUAUCGUUUUAUUUACUAUUUCCCAUAAAGGUAAAAUUCUGAUAAUUUUUUUUUCUUUUUCAAGUAGGCUAUAUUUGUUAACAUAUAAGUGAAUAUUUAUUAGUCCUUAGGGAGGGUAGUGGUUAGGUAAAAUCAAAUUUGUGUUGAGUUUGGCCAAUUUGUAUUAAUUUUCCUUAGUCCCACACCAACAGGGUAUGAAAGUAAUUUAACAACAAAAAUAAAAACACGGAGAAAAAAUGAUUUUUUAACGGUAAAUUAUCAUUGAGUUAUGCUUACUAUUAAUAUAAUAAUUGUUUGUACGUGGUAUUCAAAAUCUCAAAUUUCUAAUUUCUUUUAGAUGGAACUUGCCAUUUAAAGUAGUUAUAAUAUUAAGAUAAAAUUAAGAGUUUCUAUUAUCUAUAAGAAAAAAAAAAUCAAAAAAUAGUCCUAAAAAGAAAAAAAAAAUCAUUACAUUUGAUUUUUUUUUUUACUUUUGACAGUUUUCCAUAAAAUUUAUAUACUCUACGUUAGUUUGGGAUUUUUUACUAUUAUUUUCUUGUGAAAAGUUAGUCAUUUGAUCCUCACAAUCGUUAAAUUGAAAAUAAGCUCUCGAAAUAUUUUUCUUAAUUUUUGAGACAUUCACAGUGACUAGUCCAGAUGAGUGUGUUUAUGUGUUGGUAAGACUAGAGAUUUUUACAAGUUGUUUAUAAGAAAAGUACAUUUUUGUUUAAUAACACGAGUGAAAAAUUAAAUAUCUAUGAUCUAAUCACUUCUUUGUAAUAGUUUAACGGUUCAAGUUGGGGUUUAGUUUAUAAUUUAUUUUUAAACAGUUGAUUGUAAAAAUUUGUAUUAGUUGAAUUAUGCUCACAUUGAUAGAUUUAUGUAUUUAACUCUUUUUGAUUUUGUUGGUUUUAUUCAUGUAUUAAUAUGUGGAUUUUGUUUAAUUUAUUUGUGACGUAUCAUUUCACCAUUUACUCUCUAUUCUUCUAGGGUAUAUGAUUCAAUUCAAUAAAGCUAAAAGCAUAGUGUUAUGAUUGACUCACUCAUGUGCUGACUAAACUAAAGGUGAAAAUAUUUUUUUAUUUUCUAAAAAUGAUCAAAGACCUAUCUAACUAAAAGGUCGUAUAACUAUCGACACAUAACCCUAUUUCAAUAGGUACGACGUUGUACUUUAGAUCUUAAGCUUGGAGAUUUCGAUUUCCAAUUCUAUCGUAUUGUUAAUCUAUAUUUCAAAUAUUGUUUAAAUGUCCUUCUAAACAAUAGAAUUUUAAAAUUAAUUAAAAUUACUCUUAAUUGAUCACAAGUUAUCACAUAGAAAGUAAGAGACGAUAAAUGAAAACGUUAUUAAAUGGACCCUAAAUUUCAAAGUUUUUUUUGUUAAAAAAAAAAGGAUUGAACUAACAUUAAGAUUUAUUUACAAAUAUGCCUAUAAAUAUAUAUAUAUACACGUAUAUAUACGAGAUUUGAAUUUUGUACUUAAUAGAUCAAUGAAUCGUGAAAAUACUCUUAGCUUAAUUAGUAUGAUCUUUCUUUAUAUAUAAAUGAGAGUUUCGAAUCUCUUAAUUCUACCAUUGUUGUACUAAUAUAUAUAUAUAUAACAUUUUAACUUCAUUUUUUGUUUUCAAUGAGUCUUCGAAAUUUUGAAUCGUAUCUUAUAAGUCUAUUUAUAUCCAUAUUUUUUAAAACAUACAUUCACAUAAUUUGUUAGAGGUAAAAUUGAAAAAGUUAAGUUGUUUGUUGGUAGAGAACUUGAAAACAUACAUUUUAAACAAAAUGGAUUAAAUGAAAACAUAAUUCUACUUUACCAGAAACAUAUUUGAUAGCAAAUUAAAAAAUUGAAUUGUAAUUUAAAUGAUUGUAAAUUCGUUGUAUUUGGUUACUUUAAAAUAAUUUAGUAUUAAUUUAUUUACGAGCAUAUAUUUUGUUAAAAUAAAGUUUGUAUUAUUAUUAUUAUUAUAUUUUGUUAAAUUUGUUAAAACGAAUUAUCCACAUUUCAUAGAAAAAAUUCAUACAAAAAUUAAUUACGCCUCAUUUUUAUUUGAACAGUAAAUAUUUUGUUUAUUUUCUGUUUUUGACAUUUUCUAUAUGUAUACGAAGAAUCGUAAAAAAUAACAAAGUUAACAAAAUGUUUUGUAAAAUAAAAUAAUAAAUUAAAAUAAAUAUAUAGCAAAUUUCAUAUCCUAUGAGAGAUAGAUAUUGAUAGGUGCUGAUAUGUUUCUGUUACUAACAUCGAUAGACAAUAAUGAAAGUUUACGGGUUUCUAUGAAUAUCUGCUAAACUUUGCUAUAUUUUAUAAAUAUUUUAAAGGACAUUUUCAAAUACAGUAAAAUAAAUUAAAAUAUUUAAAAACUAUAACAAAAUUUUGAAUUCUAUCCAUGAUAGAAACUAAUAAUCUUCUAUCAUUAAUUGUCUAUCAAUAGCACAAACAUAUAAGUUUCUAUCAAUAUUUAUCUCCAAUAGAAUCUAAAAUUUUGCUAUAUUUUAAAAAUAUUUUGUCAAAUUUAUCAUUUUUUGAUAAAUUUUAUUUAUUUUACUAUAUUUGUAAAUGACUCACACACAUAUAUAUAUAUAUGAGAAAUUACAUUAGAUGAAAAAAAUUUGAAAAAAAAUGGCUCCUAACACUUCUUAUUUAUAUAUUGUAAAUUUAGUAAAUAUGAUGGUAAUCAAACGAUAAUAUGAUACGAUCAUAAUUUAGUUUUAGAUCUUCUAUUUUUACAUUUUUAAAAAUAUAAAUUACAUAGGCUCUAUUAACAUUUUUUUUUUUUUUACUAUUUUUGCAAACUCGCUCGGCGUGUUAUAUAUAUUAAAAAGAAAUUUGAUGGAGAACGGUACACCUGAAAGCUGAAACGUGGAGCCCUCCACGUGGCGUGAUGGGCCUAAAAAGUUCCAAAAGAGAAUUCCACAAAAAUCCCAUACUAUCGUAUUAUUUUUCCAAUGUCGUCAUCUUAAUAUAUCUACACCUAUAGUUACUUUUAAAUUUGUUUUUUCUUUUCACAAAAUUACUUUUAAAUUUAUAUUUUGUAAAUCUCAAAUUACAUUUUGUACAUUUUUUUCAAGUUUACAUAUUGUUAAUUAAUCUUGGCAUCUAUUUUUUUUAAUGGAGAUCUACAAUUAAGUCGCAAUAAAAACUAUAUUAUCGAUAAAUAUCAUCAUUAAAAUGCAUAGUAUAAAAAUAUACUAUAUAUGUAGUCGGAAUGAAUAUUAAAAUUCAUAAUUUAGUUAGUGUCAUUUGAUUUAUCAAAAUUUGAAUCUCAAUAAUUAGUGGAGGAAGAGAAUAUAAUUUAAAUUAGCUAACUUAUAUAUUUUCCAACUGGUGAUCGUAAUUUGUAUAAACUUAAUUUGAGUUAUAUUUAGUUUAGUAUACUCUUUAAAAUUUAGUGAUCAAAAGAAUAGAUUCACGUGGUACUAUCGUCCUAGAAUGGAAAAUGGGUCAUCAUUCCUUAAGAAAAAAAGAAAAUUUGUUAGAUUGAAGAUGAGAUGAGGUACACCAAAAUUUAUACAUUGUUAUUAAGUUGUAACCAUAUCUCGACUUCACGCAUUAACUUAAGCACUAAAGAAUAUUUUGCAAAAACUAUAAGAAUUUUUUAUCUUCGACGAUAGCUUUUUCUGUCCACGUAAUAAAAAAUGUCAAGAGAGCUAUUAUUCUACAGACAUUUUUUCAAUGCGUGGGCAUAACAUCACUUCUACUGACGACAAUCUACACACAUUAGCAAAAAAUUGUGUGGUUAAUUCUAGUGAAAAUAUUAGAUUGAGUUUCUAUCGACACUUAUUUUAGUUUCUAAUUAACCACGCAUCUGUAUUGACAAAGACCACAAUUCUUGUAGUGAAAGUACUACCACAUUGAUAUUUAUGCAUAGUGUAUUGAACAUAUGCUACGAUAACAAAGGAAGUUUAAAGGCGAGAAACACACGACAAGUCAAAUGAUUUAGAAAAAUCAAGAUUAAGAUUCAGAACAAAAGUUUGUCGAAAUUUUGUUCGAAAAACGACAUUUGAAGGGCGAGAAAAAGCUUUCCCAUGACGAAAUAUAGGAAUAUGAAGCAUUCGAAUUUGUAUGAUAGUUACGUAUGGAUGGGUAUCAAAAAUUAUUUGUUGGCACCCCACACGUUAUAUGUCGCACUACAUGUUAAGAAAUAAGCAUAUACAUUCUCUCUUUCCUUGCAAGAUAAACAAUAAAUUCAAUGUACUAUAGAUUUAGAGAGAAAGAGAUCUCUCCCUCUCUAUAUAUAUGGAAUAUAUAUUAAGGUGAGCUACAAUUUUCUUGGUUGGAUGUACUCUCAUAUUCACUCUAAUAAAAGCCAUUGUCCCAAUUUGACCAUGAUUUUGGAUGAUGACUUCUUAACUCUACCCACAUUUUAAACAAUUUCAUUAGUUUAAUUAUAUUAUAAUCUAUAUGAUUGAAUAAUCUUCUAUGAUUGUAUUAUUGACUAUAAUAAUAAUAAUGAUAAAUAGGUAAAUAUAUAUAUAUAUAUAUAUAUAUAUAUAUAUAUAUAUAUUAUUAUUGGAUGAAUAUCGAUCGAUCGAAGUUGAAUUUCAGCUAAACUGCUAUUGAACUGACUAUAAUCGAUGAAUGAUGAUAUUGGUUGAUUUAAAUCGAUUUAAGCAUAUAAAAUCAUUUGUUUAGAAUUGCUAUCAGUUUGAACUUUUCUCGAAUGGACCGGUGAAGAAAAAAAAUGGUAGAAUAUAAAGUUGUAGGAGUUUUAAAUCAUCUUCUAAAUACUUUAUAUACUAAAAGCAACCAAAGGAAAAUUAAAGUUAAUAUUUUAGUUUUAAAAUUUAGUGAAAUAUUAAAGAAGAUUAUUAGGAGUGAUUCACUUCUCAACAAAUUUUGAAAUCAUUAUAAACUUAGUUUUUUCUUUAUCCGAAAUUAAUUAAUUUCUAGUGAUUAAUGAUACAUUAUAAAUGAUUUUUAAGUACGACAAAAACCAUUUUCAUUCAUUUCAAAAUUACUUCAUCUUCUCAUUUUUAUUAUAAAUGAUAUUUUUAACACAUAGGUUGAAGGGAUGAAAAAUGUUUAUAUGUAUAAUUUUUAUUAAAAAAAAAAACAACAAUAUUUACACUUUCAAACAAAAAUCUAAUUCUAAUAGAUUUUUUUUUUUUUGUUUUUCUACUAAGGGUUAGGAUAUAUGUAUAUUUCUAUUUAAGAAAAAACCAAAAAAUAGAAAGAAAAAAAAGAUAUUCAAAAUCCCUUUCCCAUUUCAACCGACAAAGAAGACUGAUAAAUUAAGGCCGUCGAGUUUGGGGUCAACAAAAUUUGAGGUCAUUAAUGACUUUUGUGGUUCCCUAAUUAAAUUGUGUUGUGAGUUGGGACACCUCAACUUAAAUUAACUAUUCUUAUCACCACUAUUAUUAUUAUUAAAGACAUUUUUAAAAAUAACAAAAUAAAUUAAAAUAUUUACCAGCUAUAGUAAAAUUUUAAAUUUUAUCAAUGAUAGUCUUCUAUCACAAUAGCAUAUCAAUGACUGUCGAUGGUAGAAUUUGCUAUAGGUUGUAAAAUCUACUAUUUUUAAAAAUUUCCUUUAUAAUUAACUAUUCUUAUUACUAAUAAGAAUAAAUUUUAAAAAUAAAAGAUUUGACAAACUAUCUACGGUCUAUAGCAAAAUUUUAAUCUCAAAGUAUUCAUGUCUUUUUUAUUGUAAGAUGUAAGUACUUUUCAGAAAUGUAAAUUCUCCAUAAUAAUAUUAUUAGUAUUAGAGGUAUUUUUUAAAAUAGAAAAAUAAAUUAAAAUAUUUACAAACUAUAGCAAAAUUUUCGAUUAUAUCAAUGAUAGUCUUCUAUCACUAUAACAUAUCAAUGACUAUCGGUGAAAGAAUUUUCUAUAAGUUGUAAAUAUUUUGUAAAAUUUGCUACUUUUGAAAUUUUAUCUUAUUAUUAUUCACUCUUCUAAUUUUAAUUUUAAAAUUCCAAUACUCUUUUUUGAAAAAAUGGAAACUAUUCAUGAAAAAAAAAACCACUAAAAAAUAUUACAUUUAGUUGAUUUUUUAUAAAAUAUAAAUAGUUUGUUCAUAAGAAAAUUACAUCAAAUGACAAGAAUAUUAUAAAAAAAAAAUAGCUCUGACACCAACUUUUUGCACAUUGUGAAUAUUAAACGAUAAUCAUAAGACUAUUGGAGAGCUAUCAAACAGUAAUCACAAGACUAUUAGAGGACAUCACUUUUAAAUUUGCCACUUUUACAAAUGUAAGAAACGUCGUUACAUCAUAAUUUUUUUUCAUUUUACUGAUUUUGACAAAUUUCCUAAAAAAAAUAUAUCAAAAACAUAAAAAGUGGAAAUAAACAACAAUUUAUAGAGAAAACAAAGUUUUUUUAGGAAAAAAAACUAGAGGAAUAAACCCUAAAGUUAGAAUAAUCGAAAAUAAAAAGUAUAAAUCAAUAAUGAUAGAGACGAAAAAAAACUAAACUUUUCACAUGAUUUUAAAGACAAAAUAAAAAGAAAUGAGAGAAUAUAUAUUUUUCUUAACUUGAAAUGAUAGUCAAUUUUUUUAUAAAAAAAUCAAAAUAUCCCACAAACAUUAAAAAAAAAAAAAGACAAAAGACUUAAAAAGAGUGAAUUUUUAAAUUAAUGUAUUUGAAAUCAUGAUCCAUUAGAAACAUUUUAUUAAUUACUCGAAACGAAGAUAACAAGAGAGAAACCUCACCCAUCUCUUUUGAGAUAGAAUACUCUCUAAUUAUCAUGAAGUUGACUAGCCCACACCAAAAGACGAGUCUCAUCCCUUUCAUAACACACAACACAAGCACCACACAAAAGACUCAACGCCAACAAACGAAAUCGAAGCAAAAGACUACGCACAAACUAAAAGAGCUCGUACAUAUGAUAAGGUGAAAAAAAAAACAUUCCCUUUAAUAAAAGAAAAUUGUUAAAAACAGGAUGCUAACACUAUUUGUCAUUCAUAACCGGAAAUUAAACAAUUGAAUUUAUAAGAUAUUAGAAAAGAAAAAUCAAUAUUGCAACACAAUAAUAAUUAUAAUUCAUUUUAAUUUUAGGAAUAUGAUUUUUGAGAUAAAUUUGUUGAACCAAAAUUGAAAAGAAAACCAUUAGUUGAGGUACCAACUACACUCAUGUUUUUAUGUGUAAAAUCAUUUGAACUAAAGCAUAUAUAUAUAUAUUACACAAACACAAGAGAAAGGUAAAGAGGAAUACAAAUCAAAUAUUUUUCUCACCUACCACACCACUUUUGCAUUUUCUUCUCACCUCACUAACAACAAAUCCAUUUUGCCUUCAAAAAAUAAAAAUAUUACACAUCAUACCAAGAAAAAUAAAUUAGGAGUUUUGUGUUUUUAUUGUAUAAUAAUUAUAAGUUUAGUUGUUAAAUAAUAAUCUAAACUUUUAAAAUGAGUUAUAAAUUUACAAUUUUCUUAAUAUAUUAUGGAGUAUUGAUUCUCACAUACCCAAACAUUUAUUGUUUGUUUUUUCCUUUUUUUUUUCUCAACUAUUUAAAAGAGAGAUUUUUAAAUAUAGCAAAUAAAUUAAGUUAUAGCAAAAUCAUCAAAUUUUCUGUAAAUUAUUGGAGUUUUUUUUUUUUUUUUUACUAUUUUGUAAAUAGUUUCAAUUUUUACUAUUUAUCACAAUUCUUCUACUUAAUAUAAAUAUAGGGCAGGACACAAAUUUAUUCACCAUUUUAUAAAGAAAAAAUAAAAUUUUAAAAUUUUAAAAAAAAUUAUUUGAAAUUUGGUAAAAAAAAUUAAUUCAGGAAAAAUUGAAAAAAUAGAUUCAAUUUUCAAACAUAGAAAAUCAAAUAAGACUUAUAACUAAAGGGUCAAUCACCAACCAGAGUAUUAUUCUUCAAAACUUGGUUUGAUUUUAUAAUAUGGGUAGAAAGUUAAAUUUAAAAAUGAAAGUUGGGUUUAUAAACUUCAUUUUUAAAAUUAAUAAAAAAAGUAUUAAUGUCAAAUUAAUUACCAAAUGGAACUUUAUUAAACAUGUUUUUUUUUUUUUAAUAUUUAAACAUAAUUUUCAAAGUUGACCCUAAAAAUAAAAGAGAAUUAUGGGUUCUACUUUGUGUUUAAAAAAAUGUUAAAAAAAGUGAACCUAUUAAAUAAUUGUGUAUUGUUUUUUUAGAAAAGAAAGUAAAAGAAUAAAUGAAGAUAGGGAUACAUACUUUUAUUAACUCAUCACUUUAAAAACAAAUCCUUAGUAUUAGCAUCUAAAAAAGGUCAAUUAUUCUAAAUAAACCUAUGAUGUUGAAAUGAUAUAAUUAGAGAUUGAAAUUUGUUGUAGUUACUUUUUUAAUUAAUUAAUUAAUUAAUUUGUUUUUUUUUUAAAUUCUAAAGGAUGAUAGUGAAAGGAAAACUGAAUCGAAAGAUGGAGUGAAUUGGGAGGAAGAUUUAAGCGGAAAUUUUUUGUCUUAAAUAUCUACAACUGUAGUAAAAUACCACAAUUUAUCACAUGACAAACGAUCAAGACAAAAUAUUAUUAGCUGUAACACAGAUAGACGAUAAUGAUCUAUUUGAUAUUUUGUGGUCUAUAUUGAGAUAUUUUGUUAUAUUUUAUAAAUAUUUUAGUUUAUUUUUGAAUAUCUGAAAAUGAUUUGGAAGGAAUAACAAAGGGUGGUUUGGUAACUAGGGAUUAAUUAAUUAAAACAUUAAUUAAGGUUAUGAUUUCUUCAGCUUUUUCUUAAGGUUCAUUUUAUAAAGGGCUCGAUUUUGCUCCCACUCAUUUCAUUUUAGCUUAAAUUGCAAAUCACCUUAUUAAUUAAUUUAAUAUAUAUAUAAACAUGCUUUAACUCAUUCAAAUGAUUUGUUCUAAAAAAUAUAUAUAUUUAUUAUUUAUAUAUGUAUAUAUAUAUUUUAAUUUCAUCUGAAUAUUUCAUUUUGCAUAAAUAAUGAAACUAUAUGUUUAAGAUUGGUAGGGUGACAAAAGUUACACACAUAUAUUGUUUAAAUUUCACACGUUUUUUUGCGUAUUACAUUAUUUUUGUUUAAGACAUCAAUAAUAUUAUUUUUUUUAAUCUUCGCAAAGGAGAACAAAGUCGUUCUUGUAAUCGUAACUUUGACAACUUCUUCUGAACGCUCAACGUUACUCUUUACUCUGAAAAAUAUAUUUUUUCAAAUGUAAGGAUAUUACAAAAGACCUCAUUCACCAUCUCCAAAAGGGAAGAGUGAGUGUUAUCUCUAAAGAAUAGCUACGACGUAUUCUAAUUUGGAGACCGUUAUAGGCUCACCAACACAUCGAUUCAAUAAACUUUCACACAAGUAGAGGUGAGCAUCGGUCGGUCGAAGUUGGUUUUUUGACAAAACCGACCAUAAUCGGUUUAGUAAAGUGUCAAACUGACUAGUCGAUCAGUUGAUUUAACACUUAAAAAUACUGUUUGAAAAUUCUCGAUUUGAAACUGUUUGAAACCAGCUCUCUUGUUUUUCGAUUGACCAACUUCAAUAUGAUUCUUGGUCCAUCAUGGUCACCUAUACAUACAAGUUUACUAGAUAGAUAAGACCAAAUCAGAAGAAGAAGAAAAAAAACGUAUUGACAAACAAUCCCAAAAGGAACGUGGAGAUGUCAACAAACUAUUUGGACAAAUUUUCAUUCAAACAAUGAAAAACAAAAACAAUAAUGAUAAUGAUAUUAUUUUAUUCACCGUAUAAUAAGGUUAUGAUAAAUGAGAGAUUGAAUGUAUUUGAAAUAAUUCACAUAAAUAAUAGAAAAUAAUAGUGAUUUGGUUGAAUUAAGUAUUUGUUUAAUUAUUUAAGAGGGAAAUUUAAUAGGCAGAAGAAGAAGACUGCGUCGUUCGGGGAAAGAUUAAAGACGAAGCAAACAGUGAGAAUGGUUAAAAUAAUGAUGAAAAGUAGGUUAGUCUUCGCCAGCAGGUGACGGAAAACCCCAAUCAUUACGUGACACGUUAUCUUUUAAAUUAUGACCAAUUAAAGUUUUCACUUUAUUAAUUUUUCAGUACCCCUUCACAGUUCACAUCAUUUUCUCUUUAUCCCAAAUUUACUUCUUUUUCUUCCUUUUUGACCUCUUUGCCUCUUGCAUUGUUAGCUAAAGUAAUAUGGAUAUCAACAUGCUAUUGAAUUUCGGUUGACACGUACGAACAUGUUUUGAAACGUAAUUCAUCAAUGGUAAAGUAGAAAGUGACCUUUAGUUGGAUUGUGUUUGUAGUUGUUUGCUUUUUUUUCGUAAUCGUAAUAAAUGUCUUUAGAAAUCACCUUCAAAUAGAGAUGAUCAUCGGUCGGUCGUAGUCGGUUAUUUAAAAAACUCAACCUGAACUGACCAUAGUCGAGUUAAUAAAGUGUCAAACCAACCUCAAUUUUAAUGAGUAAGAGUCGACUGGUCGAUUUGUGUCCGGUCAGUUUAACAUUUAAAAAUACUUUUUGAAAAUUCUCGAUUUGAAACUUUCCAAACCAACAUUUUCUCGUUUUUCUACUAAUCGACUUCAAUUUGAUUAAUAAGCUCGAUUUUUCGAUAUAUUAUGCUCACUCCUACCUUCAAAUAUGCAAUCAAAACAUGUAAUCUAAUUGAGUAGCAAAAAAUUGAGGGACUCAUUACUUUUACGGGUACGAUAAGAAUAUGAGAAUUAUGAAUUUGUUACUUUUACUUUUUACCUUUACCCUACCAUUUUCAUUAUCGUUGAGAUAAAGUAGUAACAAUAAACUUAACAAAUUUGUAAUUAUAAAUAAUAAUUAUGUCAAUUUAAACCCUAAACCACAAAUGUUAUAUCAAUUUAAACCAUAAAUUAAUAAUUAUAUCAAUUUAAACUCUAAACUUUUACAGACUCGUAAAUUUAAACUAUGAACUUUCACAAACAUAUCAAUUUAAACUCUUAACUUUUAUAAGUGUGUCCAAUAAAACAUAAUAGAUGACUUAAAUUGACGCAACCUAAAACUCGUGGUUUAAAAUAAUAUAAUUAUCAUUAAUAUAUGGUUUAAGUCGAUACAAACUAUAAGUUGAUACUUUUCUAAAAGUUCAACUAUAUACAUACCAUACCUCCUCUAACACUUCAUAAAACUAUUUAUUAUAUUUGAAUUAAAGAAAACUUUAGUUGUUACUACAAUUUAUUUACAUGCCAUUGAAGUGUAACUAUAGAGCAUUAUCUCAACUAUAGAACAUUACAUUAUAAUUUCCCCCACUUUUUUUAAAUAGAAAAGUACACAACAAAUCAAACAUAAAGAGCCUAGAUGCUAUUUUUAUGUACAUUUUUUAAUUCUUAAAAACUAAAAAAGGAAAAGAAAACACAAGUGGGGGAAGUUAAAACUACCAAAAUAAAAUACAUACACAAACUUUAAUAUGACACAAAUAAAGAAAGAAAGAAAGUAAGAAAAAGUAGAUGUACUAUUUUACCCAAUAAAAAAGAAAAGAAAAGAAAAGAAAAAGUGGUAUUUUCAAAUAUACGUUGACCAACCAAAAUAUAACAAAAAUUUUAGAUUCUAUUAAAGGUUGACAAAAAGACAUCAAUAGACUUGUAUUAAUGUCUUUAGUGAUCGAUAAGGAAUAAAAAUGAGCAUGAUAGACCCAAAAAUUGAGCCGACCUACUGACUAGAGGAGUCGGUCAGGUUCAAUUUCAAAAAAUUUCAAAUCGAGAAUUUUCAAAACCUAUUCUUAAGUGUUAAACCAACCUAACAAAAACUGACUAAUCCUUACUUAUGAUGUCAAGGCCGGGUUGACACUUUACUAAACCGAUUAUGGUUGGUUUGGGGUCAAUUUUGUAAAAAAAAGACCUGACUUCGACCAACCGAUGUUCACCCCUAUUAUGGAGUCUAUCAAGGUAUUUCAAUAAUAUAUUUUGUAAAUAUUUUGGGUGUUUUUAUUUAUUUAGGAUGCUUUUAUAAUUUAUAAAUAAUACAAUAUACAAUAAAAGGUGAAUAAAGUAUUUAUUUAAUUUGUUAGGAGUACAAAAAGUGAAGAAGGGUGUGAGGGAAUUAAAUGUAUAUAUUUGUGGACCAACGCAUAAGUUAUGAUUAAUUUAAUGCCAAAUUUAGGUUAUAAUCAAAUUAUAUAUAUAUUUAUUUAUUUUCCUUAAGAAAAAGAUUAUAUAAAAUUUAUUGUGAUCACCGGCAUCUUCUUCUUCACAGUUCCCAACAGUUUAAAAGCAUAAACCGGUUUCCUCGCGACUCCCAUCUUCUUCCCCAACUCCCCGCGGGAAAAAUCCGUAGCCAUUUUGUUAUCCGCUUCCCGCCGGCAAUGUUGCCGGUAUUUCCACAUCUGUCGCCGCCGCCUGAGGUCUAACUCUGUAUACGGCUACAAUUCCACUUGUUAUGGCUCUCUCUGCCUCUACGCCGCAGAGCUUGAAGCUUCGUAUUCUCUCGUGCCUUACCAAGCUUUCCGAUCGAGAUACCUAUUCUCUUGCUGCAUCCGAGCUAGAAUCCAUUGCUCAGAAUCUUGACGGGAGUACCUUGCCGAUUUUCCUUUCAUGUAUAUAUUCCACUGAUGCUUCGGAUAAAUUGCUGGUUAGGAAGCAAUGCAUUCGUCUCUUUGCUGUUGUCUCAGAGAUUCAUGGAAAUUCUCUCGCUCCUUACCUAUCGAAGAUUCUUUCUAAUAUCACACGCCGGUUCCGCGAUCCUGAUUCGUCGGUCCGAUCUGCUUGUGUUAGCUCUGUAACAGCAUUAGCUUCCGGUGUUACCAAACCGCCGUUUUCGACAUUUUUGAAGCCUUUAACUGAUUCGCUUUUCACGGAGCAAGAUUCUAAUUCGCAGGUCGGAGCGGCGUUGUGCUUGGCUUCGGCAAUUGAUGCUGCACCGGAUCCGGAUCCGGUUAAGAUCGGCAAGCUUUUGCCGAGGUUUGAGAAGCUUUUGAAAUGCGAGAGUUUCAAGGCGAAGCCGGCUCUCUUAACGCUGAUCGGGAGUGUUAUUGGAGUUGACGGAGCUUUAGGAAAUGGAGCUCUAAAAAAUUUGGUCCCCUGCUUGGUUGCAUUCCUCAGCAGUGAGGAUUGGGCGGCGAGAAAGUCUGCGGCAGAGGCGUUAGGUAAGCUAGCAGUCGUGGAGAGGGAUGCUCUGGCAGAGUUCAAGGCCGGUUGCUUGAAAACGCUCGAGAGUCGGCGAUUCGAUAAGGUAUCAGUUUCUUAAUGCCUUUAAAAAUACAAUAAUCGAAUUUAGUUAUUUGAUCUUGUUUUUCGAAACACUGUGAUAUAGGUUAAAGCUGUACGUGAGGUAAUGAGUCAGAUGCUCGAGGCAUGGAAACAGAUUCCUGAUCUCUCGGAUGAGGCAUCUGCGCCUGCUUAUUCCCAAUCUUCCUCGAAAGGUAACGUGCUUAGACAUUAUCUUCGGUAAAUGUUUAGCUAAUUUCCUGCAUGUCUGGUGAAAUUGUUUACAGCAUUGUAAUUUCUUCCAUUUCGGUACUUGAUUCUGUUUUAGAAAUCGUAAGUGAUGGACGUUAUCCACCUGGAUUUAAGAAUAAUUCUUCAGCUCGUCUUGAUGCUCCUCUCCCGAGGAAGAACGUUAUCUCAGCUUACAGGUCUACACCGCCGGAUGCCUCACCUGCGACGGCAGCGAGAAGGAGAAGCUCUUUGAGCGGUGGUGAUAAGAAAGCAAGUUUGUCAAUGCUCCAGAAGGCUGAGCGUAAGAAGCCUCUGGACUGGAAAGUAGAAGUCUCUGUUAGGAAAUCUCCCUCGGGAGAACUGAAGGAAAGAGAUGAAAACAUUCCGGAUAGAAGGUUCAGUGAGAAAACAAAGAUUUCGAAACCAGAAACAAAACGCGCACUCUUCAACAAGAUUUCUGACGAUAAGACUAUUAAAUUCGGUGGACUCCGGUCUGGAUCUCGCGUAGUUCCUUGUCCAGAGGAUUUUCCUGAAUCGACUGUUGUAGCAAGUAGUGCAACCGAUGAUCUGCACAGGAACCACAAAGACUCUGAAGAAUUACAUUUGAUCCGUAACCAGCUUAGUCAAAUUGAAAAGCAGCAAUCCAGUCUUCUGGAUAUCCUCCAGGUUGGUAACCGAAUCCCUAAAUCUGUACCUAAUCUGAAAGUAAUACGUUGAAUCUGAAUUUAUUUUCGUUUCUUCAUGCUUGAUUCAUGACCUCAGUUAAGUUGUAUAUGUUUUCCUCAUUGUCAUUCUAGAUAUGAUAAAUUUUCCGAGAAAUAUGAACGUUCUUACAUCAAUAUAGUAAAUCGUUCCUUGGAAAUUGGAAUAAUUAGAAUGCAGGAAAUAUAGACGUACUUGUACAAUGUAGAUAGAACAAUAGACGGCAAGCACAUAGAACAUUGAAUCCAAAAAUGAAAUAUUCAAGGGACAUUGUAUGUUUCAUUGUACAUGCUCUACGGAAUUAACAUGAUUUUCUUCCUUAGAGAUCGGAUUUGAUAUCCCAUCGAUCGUUCGAAUAUGAUUUUUGAAGUAUACACAUGGUUGUUUUUUCAUACCUCACCCUGCCACUAAAUCUUAGAUAAACCACAUUCGGGCUACUAUUGUGUCAACUGCUCAUGCCGUUUAUAACUUCUCUACCAUUUCUUACCAAAAAGUACGUUUCUCGUCAAAAUACAAACAAACUACUGCCAACUUCAGAAUUACAUUGGGAUUCUCUGCAAUGUGCAGUAUAGUGAUCACUCAUUGCAAUUCAGUCAUUAAGGGCUAUCAAUCUCACGUGUUUUGCCUUAUCUACCCUUUUUAGAACUUCAUUGGGAGUUCCCAGAACGGAAUGCGAUCCUUGGAGACGCGUGUACAUGGUCUCGAACUGGCAUUGGAUGAGAUCUCAUAUGAUCUAGCUGUAUCAAGUGGAAGGAUGUCUUAUGCUAAUACUCCCACAACCACUUGUUGCCUACUACCAGGAGCUGAUUUUUUGAGCUCAAGGUUCUGGAAGAGAGCAGAAAGCAGACACUCAACGUCAAAGUUCUCUACUCCCAUUCGUGCAACUCCACUGGCUCCAAUCCGCAGCAGAUCAGGCGAUCGCCAUGGAACCAAUGUGGAUGUUGGAUCCACGAAUCUGGAGAAUCAUAGGUUUCAUAUCCAGCGACGGGGUGGAUUUAUGGUGAAUCCAUUGGCUGUGAGACAAAGUGAACCCAGGGCUGCCUCAGAUGUAACACACUAAAGAGUAAAUUCUGAACUUAAUUCACUCUCUCUUUUAUUUUACUCUUAAAUUCCAUCACUUCUUUUUGUGGAUCUCUAAGUAAUUUACUAAACUUCAAACCAUUUUUACUCUUUUUUCUUUCUGGGAUUUGUUAUAUAGGCUUACGGCUAAAUGGGUUUUCACAUUCCUUGUGCCAAUGGGAAUCUAAAGUGGGGAUUCAGAAAGCAAUUACUACCACGAUUUAUGUGGCUAAGGUAAUGCAUUUAAUAGCAUUUUUCUAUUAUAUGUUCAAGAGCCAAGUGAUCUGAAAAUUCAGUGAGGUGUCCUCAAAAAUUUGAGUGAGGUGUCAAAGUUAAAUUUCUCUUUUCCCUAUUGAUGUGGCUAAGGCAAUGCAUUUCUUUUAAAUUUUUCUUUUUUUGUUUGGGAAUGUGAUUGAAAUUGGAAACAAUAGGAGUCUACACUUAAAUGCCAAAUAUUCUAAUAUCUAGAAAGGAGAGUGAUUAAUGAUGUGUAAAUAGGAAGCAGAAUACAAAGGCCUUUUUCACUUCACUUUACACUUACGAUUUUACUCACUGGGGUGUGGAGUUCUUUUCGAUCGGUUGAAACUUAUUGCUUGAAGUGGAAAAGAGUACAUAUAUUUGGUUGAUGAUUAUGAUGUUCUCUCUUCAUUUUUAGCCUUUUUUAUUUUUCUUUAUAGUAUCUAACUUGUAUAGGUUGGUAAUCUAAACCGAUACAACUCUAUCUAUUAGUUUAUAUUACUGAUAAAUACGGUUAAAAAUCUCCUUAAUAUAUAUAUAAUAUGAUUAUAACUUGUGUCAAUUUUAAGAAUAAUAAUUUAGUAUAUAAUAAUAUUUUUUAAAAAAUACAAAUAUGGCAAAAUCUAUCUAUAGUUGAAAGACCAUACAAAAUCUAUUCGUAUGAGAUAGACUUUUGCAACAUGUCUUACAAAUUUUGCGAUAUUUGUAAACUUUUACAAUUAAUUCUCUAUAUAUAUAUAUAUUAUAAUAUAAAUAAAUAAAUAAAGGUGUCAAUCUUUUUUUAAGAAAAAAGAAAUGUAUGAAAGUGCAAUGCUUAGUAAAAAAGAAAAAUGGGUAUAGUAUUGAGAGGUUCACAUGUAGGGCACUGCACAACUGAAAUCAACUUUUCUAUUGCAUCCUUAUUUUAUUAUUAGUAUUAUGCCUUUAUAUUGCAUCUUUAUUUGAGUCAUUGGAUAAGACUUAAGAGAAUAUUAAAUACAAUAUGAAAUUUUAGGUCGAGCUUUUUGAUGCUACUACUAGUGUCACAUCACAUUAAUCAUUAAAGGUGAGUGGUUAUAAAAUUAUAAGAAAAUUAUGGUUUAGAUUGAUUGAUUGUUUUUCUUUUCUUUUUUUAAUCUAGCAAAUUUUAUCCUCCAUGAGAUUGUUCCUCCACAGUUUUCUAUCGAUUUUCCUAAUUUUUAUUUUUCUAGUGAUUUUCCAAUUUCUACUUUAUCUGAAUUUUAAAUUAGUUUUAAACAUUUAAAAUGAGUUAAAAUAUUGAAAAGUUUGCGAUAAUAGGAAUAUAUAUAAUAAUAAUAAAGUUUAUGUCACCGCUAUUUUCAAAUUUGUAAAAUUAAAAAAUUUAAAAACAGAUUCUAUUUUUUUAUAAAACAGAUUCUAUUAGUAAAAUUUGCACUAUGAACGAAAAAAUGCUAAUGAUCUAUUUUUUAAAAACUUUCUUGUCAUUCAAUUUUUUUAAAAUAUUCUAUAUUAAUAUUUUACUAUAUUUAUAAAUAUUUUCAACAAUUUUGUCAUUUAAAAUAAUUUUUACAAAAAAAUAAUUUGUUUUUUCUUUUAUUUCUAAAAUUUAACUCAAAAUUUUGAACCCCAAGUAAACAUCAAUUUUCAUUUCUGCUCUCAAGUCUCAACCAUAAGAUGUGAGUGAAGAUUACAAUUUCUAGAGAAUAUAAUCAAUUACAUUGUAGUUGUAACAUUUAUAUAACUUUUGUAUUAAAAGAGUUUCAUAUUUACUUAGGAACAUAACAAAUAACAAAUCUCCAACUAAAAAGAGGAAGUGUAUGUCUAUUAUAGAGGUACUCACAAUACAAUUUUACCUUUAUAAAUAUUUUUAGGUUUAAAUACUAUUUGAUUUUCCUUACUUUUAAUUUUUUGGUUAUUUAUCUCUAUUUUCAAAACGUUCAUUUUUAUUUCUACAGUUUCAAACUUAGUUUAUUUUCAUCCUUGUACCCAAAAAGUGACCAUUUUGUCUCAUUUGUUGAAGGACUAAAAUGAAUUAAUGUAUAAAAUAUCAUUCGAAAAGUAUAAGAGCAAAAAAUGAAUCAAAACUAAAAGUAAAGAACAUUGAUAUGGUAUAGUAAUUCUAAAGUUCUAACUUGACAAAUAAAAAACUAUCCUUCCUAGAAAGAAGGUGACAAAUAGUAAAUGGAAGGAGAAUUGUGACAAAUAAUUCAAAAGAUUUAAGUUGAGAAGAUAAUUAUUAUAUGAAAGAGUGAUUGGAAAUUACCGAAUCAUAGGUGAGUUUUUUACCCAAUUUGACUCAACUUGAGACCAAAACCCCCAAAUUAAUUUGUAACAAGGCUUGAUGGUUUUCUUCCACAACCAAAGCCAAAUCCAUCAAUGAAUAGAAUGACACAUUUUUCUGCGUCCAAUUCAGCCUCUUCCAAAACCUAAACUUGGACUUUCCUCUUCUAUCUUUUAUCUAUUGUACAGCACUACCAACAUUUUUGCCUAGAUCAAGCUGUCAGACACUUCUUAAAUGGCUUCUUUCGCAUUCGUGAAUAAUUUUGAAAUUCAUUCCAUCAAUAAUUUAAUUUCCCCCCACCAAUAAAUAAAAAAAUCUCUAUAAUUAGCCUAUAAAAUUUAAGCCUUUAUUGGUCUCACUAAUACGAGCAUAUAUAUAGCUGCUCAAUUAAUAUAUAAAUGUAUUAGCAAAUAAUUUGUUUUUGGUAUGAAUCUUCCGCAUUUAAUUGUGCUACAAAAGGUUCGGUUUCGCUCUAAAGUUCAAAAUAUGUUGGGUUAAGUUUUUAUUUUUAAGGGAACCAUCUUGUUUUACUUUUAAGGGAAAAUUGCAAACACUACCUUCGAAAUGAAAUAUGGUAGUAGUUGCAACGAACCCUUAAAUUUACAAUUGUAAAAAUUAAACUCUUAAACUUACCUAAGUUAAAAUUUUAACCCAAAGACUUACAAUAAUGGUAGAAAUAAGACCUCCGAAAUAAAAUUAAAAAAAAUUAAACCUUCAAGUUUAUACAAUUUCUAACAUUAUAUAAGUUUGAGGGUCAAUUUUAACAAUCCUACAAUUAUAUAAGUUUGAAGAUCAAUUUUACAAUUAAAAGCUUAAGAGUAUAAUUGCAAGUACCACAUCUAUUAUUAAAAAAAGGUUUUUUAAAAACUCUGAGGAAAGUGACAAGAGGACGUAAGAUGAAAAAAAAAGAUUUGUUUUUAAAGGAAAAAAAUCCACGCAAUAUAUAAAUGAUAUAAAAUUAUCAAACAAGAGAUUCUAUGAGUGAAAUAGGAUUUGAAGGAACAUGAGAUGUAAGCGUACCGUUUCUCCUUAGCUCUAAUCAUCGUUUCGUUUCUUUCCUUUUCUCGUAUACGAUACGAUGCUGUUCAUCACGAUAUGCAAUGCUCCCAAUUUAUGAAAAGUUAAAAGGAAAAAAAGGUUAAUGAUAAUGAUAAUCAGCAAUAUAAUGUAUUUUCUUAAAGGAAAAGGAAUUAAACAAAAGGAAGACAGUUGCAUGGGGAUAAGGCCCCACCCCUCUGGUUGAUACGUAUGUUAUGAGUAAUUUAUUUAUAUUCAAGCAAGAAACCUACCAAACCAAGAAACUAAUGGCUUCAAAUUCCAGCUUUUUCUUUAAAAAAAAACACUCAAAUUUAGAUCCUACAGCUCAGCCACAUGAACAGCAUUUUCAGAUCCAUAACAUUUCAGGAAAAAUUAUAUUGUUUCUUCAUGUUCAAGUUGAAUUAUUCAAUUUAAGGAAGUAUCUACCAAUCAAUCAAUCAAAAUUUCACAUUACACUUACAAUGUAAUAUGCUAACCACUCUAGUUUCUAAGGAAAAAUAACAUCAAACAAGCAAGCAAGUAAACAAACAAAAAUAAAACAAAAAUAUUAGGUACAACCAACUAGAGGAAAGUUGUCAAUCAAAAUUGUUUAAUUCCUUAAAUCAUAUGUAUUUGAUUGAUGAGAGAUCUGCCAACAAGAGCUUUAGUUCAAUUGACACUUGUGUAUAUCCGAGAAAAAGAGGUUUUGGGUUCAAAUCUUCUCACCCCCAAUUGGCACUCCUAACUUGUGUUUUGUUAGUUGGUAUAAGAUGUGUCCCUUCUAUUGUACGAUAAAACUUGGACUACUUAUAAGUCUUUUAUCAAACUAAAUAGACUAAAUUCUAUACGUCUCCCUACUAUAUAAAUAAAUUUACAAUUAAACCUUUCUAUAAACUCAUCUAUUGGAGGUCAGGGUUAAAAAUGAUAUAAGUGUUUUAUCAAACUAAAUAGACUAAAUUCUAUACGACUCCCUACUAUAUAAAUAAUUUUACAAUUAAACAUUUCUACAAACUCAUCUAUUGGGGUCAGGGUUAAAAAUGAAAUGCGAAAAAGUAAAAAAAAAAGUAAGGGUUCAAUAACGGAAUGAUUAAAGGUAAAAACUACUUACUACCAUCUGUGUAUGAAUAGAGCACAGCAAUGAUCCAUGAAAUAAAAGAUCACAAGGCAUGCUCUACGGACAAUAUUUUGAAGGCCUUGUGGUCUGCCACUAACUUUGCCGUCAAACGGGGAAAAGAUGCUUACUUUAGCCUGAAAAGUUCGACCACUCAUAAAAAAUUAUUACCUUCCUUAAGUUUCAUCUUUUGUAAUGUUUUAUGAGAAGAUUCUAUUCCAUCACAUGAAAGUAAUAUUUUUAAAUGCAAUGUUUUCGUUUAUAAAAUACAAAUUUCGUACUUGUGAAAAGAAAUUGAAAAUUGUUAAAAUUAGUUAAAAAUAAUUUCAUUAAUUUACAAGAAUAGUCAAAUACACACUCUAAAUCUAACCUGUUAAUCUUGCACUUUUAUCUUCCUCCUGGCAUAAAGAUGUCAAAUCUGAAACUAUAUAUAAAAAAAAGACAGAACUUUACAAAAAAUUUCACAAGAAAACUACACUUUUGAUAGCUAAAAAGCUAUAGUGGGGAGUUUAUGCCUUUAAUUCUAUUAAGGACUCAAUGGAGGAAAAAGGCAGAGAGACGUUAAAGAAAAGUGUUGAGAAAAUUAUAAAGAAGAGUUUAGGUACGGAAAGGAAUUAGUCUGAAAUAAUUGGAAGUGUUAAUCACAAUGUGAGGAGUUUGUCACAGGAACAAUUGGAAGGGUCAAGGGGAAUAGGAAUACUAGGAGCAUUGAAAUUUUGCGAAUGUAUAGAAUCUAUCCCUAUCAUGGUAAAUCAAAUAAUUUCUUUCUAGCCAUAAACUCCAAGUAAUUGCUUUAACAGUAUUCCUUCAUAUAAUCUCUGUAUUUCCUUUGGACUUGGUUCCAGACAGAAGCUGUAUCAAAUUAUCCUCAACAGUGAAAUAAAAAGCCUAAGCGAAGUCAAAAGAAAGGUAAAGAGCUCUCUGAUGCUAGAGGGAAAAGAAAUAGUAAAUGGAUCGGCGUUUCCCCUACUUUCCUACAUAAAGAAGCAUCAAUUGGUUGUAAUGUCAUAAUGCACAACGUCCUUGCAAUCUCUCGAUUGAUUUAGCUCUUCAAGAGUCAAUAAACAUAGCCCAAAAGAAAAUUUAAACAUUUUUCAGUACUCCCCAACUUUCCAAAUUGAGAGUACUAGUUUUUGGAGUAGCAAGGAAAUGGUAGCUGUUAAUCUUGAGUCGAAAGCAAACUGAUGAAAGAUAACCUUCUUAUGUCACCUCCUCUCUUAGGGCAUAUUUCAACCAACAGCUCCAAAAGGCCGCAGAAUUCCUUAAUCACCAACUUACUCAGAUUCCUCCUGUCAAAAUUUUAGGAUGUAGUAGUCUUCUUCCAGAACUACGUAAUGUAGCAUAAAGUGCGCUAAGCAGAACCAGAAGGAAACUCUCCAUUAAAUGUCUGUUACUAACAACCCUUAUUACCUUUUCCAACAACAUGUAUUAAUGCAAUUUUCAAAACUGACAGAGGAAAUGUGUUCCAAUAUGCUUUUAGAUUUUGAAAUUUUCCACUGAGGGCAAUGGCUGCUUCCUACCUUUCUUCUGUUAUCUUGUUCCUCUCUUUCCCGUACAAGCUAGGGAAUAUGAGAUUACUAGGUGUCAUGACUUAUUCGGUUCAUUGAUGAGCUUCAGAACCACUAACAAAAAAAGCUAACUUUAUUUUUGGAAAAACGCACUCCAGUAGACCAUAUAUGAUGGGUAGCUAUUCCCACCUUAUGAACAUUCCCUAAGAGAAGUCGCCAGGAAGAUCGAAAUUGGAAGAUAGAUAUAAAGAAUGUAAAUCAGCUAUCCAAUAUUAUGUUUGAAAAUGUCAAUCGUCAUACAGCGAUAAUUUUGCAAUGCGAUUGGAAGGGCAAUCUCUUUUGCACAUUCAAAAACUUGGGAAGGCAAUAAAGAACUCCAUUCAAAUGAUGGAAAAGGGAGAAUCAGCUUGACGUAGCUACAAUUAUUAAAUACAAUUAACUUCAAGAAUUAAACACGAUGAUUAAAAGACCCUUGAGCAUUCACUGGUCCACUAUAAAUCCACAAAUAGUAGAGAUAGAACGUGGAACUCACAUGUUUCGUGAUUCCCAAAUGUAGCAUGUUUCUAAUUGAGCAAAAUCCAACUUUGGAGUGUCUUCACUUUGCUGACUUUAUCCAGCUAAUUGAUUGCUCAAUAUGAUGAUGGAUCAUAAUAAUCUGACAAUGUGAAAAAAUUGAGGAAUAUGUCAGAAUGUAGCACAAUUAUUUGAUGGGCAAAAGGUUUCUGGUGUGAAAACGUAUUAAAAUAAUUUGACUAGAAACUCAUAGUAAAAAAAAAUUAUCUGGAAAUGUAAGGUUGAAAAGCUUCACGAAUGGUCAAUUCGUUACAUGUGCAGCACCUUAUGAGGAAGACCACUAUUUGCUGUACAGUAUUCAAGAGCCUUCUAGUGAGUUUCAUAUUAUAUGAAUAAUUCAUGAUACAGCUUUAAGGUAAUAAAUUCUAUUGGCACAAUAAAUUUUCAGAAAAGACAAAUUAACCAACCUCAUGCGCAAAUGUGCUGCUUGCCAACAUCUUGAGAAUUCAACCAUGAAGCUUCAAUUCUAAGUCUCUACUAGACCAUUCCUUUGUUCCCCAUCUUCCUCUUUGAAUGAUCUUAUUACAAGAUGAAUUACAGUCUGAGUUAUUUGGCAAGUCCUUGUGCUUUCAAUAAAUUGUGGCUUAAGAAAGUAAAUAUUUAUAAGUUACAUGUGGGAGUCAUCAUUCAAAUCAGAAGCAGUCUUGUCAAACUUAGUUAACAACCUUUUAACGGUUCAACAACAUUGUUGGUUGAGAUGGUUUUGAUGCAUACAUUCCAAAAGGUUUCACCAGACUCCUAUAUCACUUUCAGCAUCUGCGUGUGCUGUAAACACUUCAUCCUUUUCAGAUAGAACUUUCAAAAAUGUUUUUGAGAGUACACAAUCAUUUGUGAUUGAUAAAUUGUUUCCGAUUAGUUCAGCGUUGUCUACAAAUGGAAUUCCAGAGCAAUGAUAAAUAGGUCAUGAUGUAUUUCCAUGAUCUCCUGUUUGGAGUUUGGAGAGCCAUUUUCUUUCUUGUAACUUUUUCCAUUUUCUGGAAACUGACAUUUAAUACUGCUACCUCUGAUUGCAUCUUUUCAAUAUGUCAAAAUUCUUCAUAGCAGCUGGUAUAUGUAUUGCUUCAUCCUUUUCAUCUCCCAUGGCAAAUGCUACUUUCCAUCAUUUAAAGGUAUUGUGUGAAUCCUGUUAAUACUUUUAUCUUCUCUAAUUCCAUACUUCAUCAUCAAGGAAGAAUCAUCUGAUGGAAUUUUGGGGAAACAAAAAUUGAUAUUUCAUACAUUCUGAUGCCACGUUAAUAAAGGACCUGUUCAGAAGAUGAUAUUAUCCCACAUUUCAGUACUCUUUUUCUUUUUCUGAAAAGUGUCACCCUGAUACCAGCAUCAUCUUUCUGCAUCACUUUCAUAUAAUAUCAACACACAUGUUUGCUCGUACCCCUUAGGUCUUCUGAUCUCUUCUGCUAUGUAUUUCAUGGGAGGAAUCUCCAAGAAAACAGACUUUUCCACUAAACAGAUUCUAUAGCCACUUUUAGAAGGUUCUAAUUCUGUGCUUCUUUUAAUGAAGGAAAAAUCAGUAUCACUGGUACAUUGUUUAGGCUUACACUUUCCUGACAUGUCCAUUUCCCAGAUGACGAGCUGUUGUUCCAGAUGAGAACCAUAACGGUGGACUCACCAUGACAGCAUGACUAAGAGAGUCCUGAGGCCGCAAUGACAUACAUAUCUUAGUAGCCAUAUUUUUGCUAAAUUUUUUCAUUUAGUUUCUUAUUUCCUGUUCGUUACUUUAUCCAAUUUAUCCUGAUCUUCACGCAACUCUUACCAUAUCUUCCUUCACUACAUAUUAUGCUUCAAUUUUGAGCCCAAAGUUAUUCAUCUCGCUUUCUCUAACCUGCAAUUGCAGAAAAAUACAACUCAACGGUUGUGUUGAUCACACAAAGAAAAAUUUAGCUGAAGAUAAACCUAAAGGUUUGAACUAUAAAUUUAGAAUCGUUUGAGUUAUAAGAUAAUGUUGUCAUUGGCUCAGAAUGUAGCAAUCUACUGAAAUUACAAACGGUUGCAGAGCCAUAAUGUGAGUAAAUCAUUAUGUGUAAGUGUUAGAUUACAACAUGAGGAUCACAAGAUCACACGAUGACAGGUGAUAAACAGUCUCCUCUAUACAAACACACAGGGUAGAAGAUGAAAGCAACAGAAACUCCGAACCAAAAUUUCACCAAAUCAACAUCACAAAAUGAAGUCGAUAACGAUUUAUAUAAAUAUUUGCUUCAGUUACCAAAUACAAUCCCUAAAAAUCACAAAAUAACAUAGAUAUGUCCAAAACACUAGACGUGAUCAAAGAAUCAACAGAUUCCACCAUUCUACUUACUAUUCAUUCUUCGUUAAGCGUCUAACAAGCAUCCGAAGUGCUUCAUCCUGAUUCGUGCAAACUCUCCAAUCGAAACCGAAAACCUUCCAUCUUCGAAAUCAUUACUACGCCACUGAUUCUUUGGCCGCAUCGCGGUGUACAUCCGCAUAGGCCUUCUUCAAUGUCGUCCAUAUCUAAACAUCCAUUAACCAAGAAGAUUAAACUUAAAAAAUGAGAAGCAGAAUCAAAGGCGAAGGAAAUAUGCAAGGUUCUUCUUAAUUGAAACGAUUUACGGACAUACCUCCGGAAUCGCUCAUUGUCGAGACCUUUACAGAAAUGAAUUGAGAAGAUAACUGACGAAGAAAGAGAAGCCGAAUAUGAAAAUUUGAGAAGCGGAUCAAAUCCUUCUCCUUUUCGUAAUUUUACUAUAUUACCCUUAGAGAUCUCAUAAUGACGUGCUCACGGGGACCCUAAAACCGGUAAUUCGCACUCUUUUCUGCUUUUUGGCGCGGGGCGCGCGCCAUGAGAUUUCCUCCACCUGCUGCCGUUGGAUCGUUGAUUCGGUUAAAGUUUACUAACACGUGCGAUACCUACAACUGUUAUCUGAAAGCUUUAAAAAGUUGAAAUCUUAGUAUUUAUUAUGUAUAUUUUUCAAAACAUUGUGAUUCAAAAUUAAAGAAAAGAAAAUUGAAAAAUAAACUUUUGAGAAAAAAAACUUUCCAUAAUUUUUUAAAACUUAUAAAUUUGAUUGUCAGAGUUAGAAAAAAUUAACAAACUAUUUAUCCUAAAAGAUAAAAUUUAUUACUUUCCAUUUCUAAAGUAUGAUUAUUUUGUAAAAUUUUUUGUUUUUAUAAUUUGUCUUUUAGUUCAAGAAAAAUAAACUAUACAUUAUGAAAAUAGUGAUUAUAUAAGUUAAGCAUUAUUUUUAAACAUUGAAUUUUGACAUGUGAGAUGAAAAAUCAAACAUCUUACCCCAAAGUUGAAGAUAUAUAUUUUGUAUGUUAAUUGAAAUAUGUUUGUUAUUUAAAAAAAAAUAUUAUGAUAAAUAGCAACAAAGUAAAAAUAUUUAUAAAAUAUAUCAAAAUUUCAAAUUCUAUCUUAUGUUUCAUCGACAAAGUCUAAAAUUUUAGAUCAUUUUUUUAUAUAUAAAAGUUCCUUUGUUUUCUUUUUUCUCUUGUAUUUUAAAAUUUUCACAAGUUCAUUUUUUAACUAUUGAAUAUGUGAUAUAAUAUCGUGAUAACUAAAUAAAUCAUACCCUACGACAUAAAAAAGUUACUCUAAACUAAUUGUAGAUAUUAUAUUUAAAGAUUGUGAAAUUGAAAUUAAAACUAACCAACAAAGACAAAGAUAUUGUAAUAUAGUAAUACUAAAACAGUGGCAAAGCUUAACUCGAUUUACAUAUGUAUGUAUACUUAUUUUAGUUGAAUUAUGGUUCAAAAUCUUAACAUCUCAAUUUGUAUUCGAAAAACACGAUAAUAGUAUCAUACCUUUCUACCAUUUUUUUUUCUUUUUGUUUUGAGUAUUUAAAUAACAAGUUUUAUUUUACUAUUUUGACAUUUCAAUAUUUUAUCUUUUGUUUCAACUCUUCAAAUAACCCUAAUUGUUGACUCGUAGUCAAAGGUGUGAAAGUCUCGAAUUUGUUAAUUUAAAAUAACUAUACUAAAAAAGUACAAAUAAUUUAAAUGGAUGAAAUGAUGCACGAGAGAACUUCCCUCUUAUUUUAUUAUCCAACCAACUACUAGUACACAUCACACGUUAAUAUUAUAAAAAUAACACUUAUAACUUUUUGCACUCCCCUUUUGAUCGUACCAUCUUUUUCUUAAUGGAAAACUACUUUCUUUUUAUCAUCGAGUUUUGAUAAACGUAUACUUUUGAUCUCUUAGUUUUGAGAGCGAAUAUUUUUAAUUUACAAGUUUAUAACAAUAGAUCAAUUUAGUCAUCGAGUUUUCAAUACAUACAUUUUUAGUGAUUGAUUUUUGAAAAUAGUUUUAUAAGGUCCUAAAAAGUAUGUUAUGUUUGAUUUUUUUUUAAAAUAACUAUAUAAUAUUGAAAUUUUAAAAAAUAAGAUUUAGAAAGAGUACGAUUUUUAUUCUUCUAAUUUAAAACGUCAAAUAAUUAUUUGAAAUAAAAGUAUAAAGUUAUUUGAAAUGUUUUUUAAACAUAUUUUUUAAAAAAAAUCUCAGGGAUAAAAAAGAUACAUUUUGAAAACUCAACGAUCAAACGAGUCUAUUCUUAUAAAUUUAAAAUUUAAAAUAUUUGUUUUUAAAACUUAGGAAUCAAACAUACACAUUUUUCGAAGCCUAUGAAAUAAAAAAUAAAAAAUAUUACAAGCCAACAUAAAUUAUUAUCGUUAAAUAAAUACAUAUAGUAGUAGUGUAAGGCUAUUUAUAAUAGAUAAAUCGAAAUAUUUCAGUUAAUUUUUUAUUUUAUAUUUAAAAAUAACCAUAACAAAUUUAUAUUUAUUUGAAUUAAUCUUAACUUAAGCAUGCGUAUGGUCUAAUAUCCCUAAUAAUUUGGAUCGAAAGCAUAGAAGUUUUCGGAUGAUGAAAUUUAAAAUUGAUUUGAAUAGAUCUCUAAUCUAAUUAUAAAUAUGGAUUAAACUAAAAGUAAUAAAAUAAUUUUCAGGUGGUACGAUUUUUUUUGAAAGUUGGAAUAAAAAAUAAUUGAAGGUCAAGAAUUAAAUAUUCUGCCAACUGUAAAAGAUAAGAUAAGGACAUUAUAUGCAUAUUUAUUAUUAUUCUCAGUUUGUUUUCAUUUAUUUAUUUUGAAAGAAAGCUCCUUGAGAUUUGUGAAGGGAUACCAAAUUUUGAUGGAUUGGGAGUUCAAACAUUAUAUUAUAAUUAUUGAUUGAUUUUAUUAAACUUUGUUUGAGUUUUUAGUUGUACCUAUUAAAUAUGAGGUAUUUUUAAAAAUGGUAAAAUAAAUUAAAAUGUUUAUGAAUUAUAACAAAAUUUUGAAUUAUGUCACUCAAAUUAUUAAUGAUUAUAGAGUUUGUUAUAAGUUCUAAAUAUUUUAUAAAUUUUGUUAUUUUUUAAAAUUCUCCAUUCAACAACGUUUGUUGUUAGCUAUGUUAAUUAAUAAAAUAUUUGUUAGAAAGUAGCACUCUAUUGAUAUGAGAAACUUUCGUUUCUAUUUAUUUUAUGGAAAAUUGGAUUAGAUGACAAUUUUUUUUAAAAAAAAGAACGGUUCAUAACAUUGUUUUUUAUAUUAUAAAUUUGAUAAAUAUGACAGUAAUCUACCUUUAAAUUUAUUAUUUUGAAAAUUUAAAAUAUAAAUGAUAUAUCCUCGUUUUUUUGGCUUACAAACUCUCUUUAUUUUAUUUUAUAAACAAAUUAUUUAUUUAUUAUUUUGAGUCAAAAAGUUCCUCUUUCUUUUGUCUAGAAUUAUGUAGAGUUGAUCUACGUGGCACCCUCAAUGUAUUUUAAAAAUGGAGAAAUUAAAACUAUUUCAAAAUUCAAAUCUCCAGUAAAUGUUUCGGUUUUCUCUCCUACUUAUUAUUUGCUACCAUUAUCACUAUCUAUUGUUUUUAUUUAAAAAAUAGUUUUAGGGUUUUUUUUAAAUAAAACAAUUUAAUAUAAUUUUAAAAUUUUAAAAUAUUUAUAAGAAUGAUAAAAUAUUAAAAUCUAUCAUUAUUGUUAUCGGUUGUUGAUAGGAAAGUGUCUAUCAUAAUAGAUAUAGACAUAAAUAGUAGUUUAUUAUUUUUUGUCUUAGAUAGAUAAUGAUAUUUUACUAUAUUUUAAAAUAUUUAUUAUUUUUUUGUACUAUAUUCUAUUAAUUUAAUUUAAAUUAUGUACCAAAGUGAUCUAUAAAUGAUAUUGUUCUCCUUUCAAUUGUUUGUUUAACCUAGAGAUCGCAUCAUUUCAUUGUGAAAGCGAAUAAAUGAUAUAGUUCUCUAUUGACAUAAUACAAUAUUUGUUUCUUGAAUUCUCCAAUAUUCCAAUUGUACAAUAAAAUAACAACAUUUUGAUCAAGGUAACUUAACUAUUAAGUUUAGUAAAAUACUUUUUAAAAAAUUAACAAGAAUUAAAGUUUAAUAGGUUUAAAUGUUUGAUUACUUCACUUUAAACAAAAUUAAAUUUGUAUUUAUUUAUCUACCUUAUGUGCUAAUUAAAAAUCUCACACAUUUUCUUUAUUAAAAUCUUAAAUCUACCUACUUUCAUUGUUUUAAAAAAUGUACUUCCAUUUAAUAUUUUGGAAAAUAAUUAUCUUUUUAUGUUAACAUCUAUUACAUUUUAUUUACAAAUAGAAAGGAAAAAAAGAAGUAAAGUUCGAGAAAGAGAGAAUUAAUGAGAGCGACAUGUGAGCAAAUUGAAGGGCGUAGCAGCGGCCACCAUACACCACCAUUAUUUUUAUUAUGUAAUGCCAUAUAUCAAAUCCCUACAAUUUCUCCACCCAAGUUUUUUUUUCUUUCUAAAAAAUCCUUUCAAUUUCACUUCCAUUUGAUUUAAAUGGAAUAUGCCAAAACCAAACCCACCCUCCAUACAAAAAAAUAAAAAAAAUAAAUUGACAUGUAUAAAAAUAUGUAAAAUAAAUUAUCAUCAAAAGUAUUAACAGUAGUUUGUUAAUUACAAAAUUGAAAAUUUAGAGAUAAAAAGAAUUUAUAGAUAUAGACAAAAACUUGUAAUUUGUCCCAACUAAAAAUGGUAAUAAGAAUUAAAAUGAUAGGUUUUUCUUUCGUAGACAAAUUUACCUCAAUUUUUUUAAGCUUUUUUUUUUUUGUUACAUAUGAAACACUAAGUAUUGCAUUAUUAGAGUCCACUGCAAAGAAGUGUAGAUAUAUGUAUAUGUAUAUAUAUGGAAAGAAUAGACAAGAGAUGAAAAUCUCCCUACCGAUCAGUGAUAGGUGAAUGAUAGAAAUUUUUUUAGAUCAAAACCUUACCUUUUUUCGAUCUUUUUACUUAGAUUUCGAAAAAGGAGAGGAUGAAAUUGUCCACAACAACGAACCAUAUGUAUAUACUUUUUCAUAAGAAAAAUGUCACUUGCUUCUAUACAAGUUGGGAUUGAAGUGGGAAAAAAUAUCUUAUAUAAAUCAAAUCAAAUGGAAGGAUCAAAUUCAUAUAGAAAUUAUUUUGUUGUUUUAUUCUUUUACAUAAUUGAAGCUUAGAAAGAACAAAGGGUCAAUUCUAUUUGAUAUUGAUUAAAAAUAAAAAAAAAAAGUUAAAAAGCAACUCAAUUUACUCCACUAGAAAUAUACAAUAAAUUAUAUAAAUUAAAAUUUGUCGUUAGAUUAGUAAGGUCCAUUUCUAACUCUGUAAUUAAAAUUCGCAUUAUGAUUUAAAUGUGUGGAUGAUACUUAACUUGAUUGUAAUUGAAAAUUAUGUAAGAAGAAUCUUAUCGUUAUUAUUACCAUUACCAUUACCGAUUGAUCAUAAAUAAUAAAAAUAAGAAAACAAGUUACCGUUUGCAAAAUGUUCAAGUAAAUGUUGUUAAAAUUAAUCCGUUUAUGUUUGCAAUAAAUACCUAUUAUUACAAUUCAUCUAUCAAUACAAUCUGUUUUCAUUACUAAUUGGAUAAACAUAAAUGUAUAAAUAGUUAAAACUGUUAAAAGUCGUUAAAAUAGAUUUAGACUAUUAUUAUUUAACAAAACUGCAUCAAUAAUUCUCUAAAAUCAUUAAGGAAUUUUUCACUUGUCCAUAGUAAGUUUUUAGAACUUAUUUGGUAAAAAUUUUGAGAACAAAAGUUCAAUAAAGACGUAUUUGUUGGGUUCUAUUUAUACAUAAUUACAUUUUUGAAAAUACAAAUUCAAAUUUUGCAUACCAAAUUAGAAACAAAAAUAUGAUAUGGACUGCCUACUAAAAGCAUACGUGAUUAAUUCAUUAUAUAUAAAACACAUAAAACAAGACUUGAAUUUUAUACCAAAUCUCUCAUUCCGUUUCUUUUACAAUGUAUUACGUACAAAAUCAACGGUUAUAUUUUUAUUAGAUACACAAAUAAUUUUUAAAUAUUUUUAGAUAUAAUACUUAUACUAAUUUUUUAAAAAAAAGUUUAUGGACAUUUUACACUUAAACAUGAAAAAUGAAGUAUAAACUUAGUCAAAAUAGGAAAAGUUAGACAUUGAUAAAAAGAUAAAAUUGUCUACCAUCAUUGUAAAAUUGAAAGUAUCUUUUUAAAUAUUUGUAUGGGUUACCUUAUACCUUUUGAAUUAUAUAUUCAAUCUCAUCCAUCAUUCUUGUUAAUGGUGUUAAUUUUUUGGGAAAUAAUAAUAUAUUGACUACUUUAUUUGGUCAAGCUACAACUCCUAUCAUUACAUUUUAUUCUCUUUUAACAAUGUUUGCACAAUUCAAUUUUAAAAACGAAAUAUAUUUAAAUAUAAUAAAAUAAACUAAAAUAUUUAUAAAAUAUCGUAAAAUUUAAAUAAUUAAUUACAUUGAUAGAAUAUAAAAAUUUGUAAAUACUUUUAACAUAUUUACAGUAUUUUUGUAGUACAUUAAAGUAAGUUUUGUUAAAUGAUAUAUAAUAAAAACGAUAGUUAUAGUUGUACAUAGAAAGUUCUAACAAAUAGAAACUGAAUAAUUAAUUUAUUAGAAAACGGUAAAAUAUUUUUCAUAAACCAACGUGGUACAUAGAUUCAGUUCGUAUGAGUUUAUCGUGACAAAAUAUAUAAUUGGUAAUUUUUUAUAUAGUUGUUAUUCUUUUGAAAUUUCACCUUCACUUAAUUAUUAAUCCUUAAAGUAAUAUGUAUUGUAAUUCAGUCCAAUAUAUGAAAUUUACAACAUGAUACAAAAUAAUUUGUAAGUGUGGACAAAUUUAGACUUAGCUUUAAACUCUUCAAUUAUACUAGUAUGUGAUUAAUAAAUAAUAUUUUCAUACAUUUUGAUAUGAGAAAUUAUGGUAAAUAAUAAAAUUGUAAAAAUUAUUAAUAAAAUUUCAUAUUCUAUUAAAGAUAUUGUUAAUGCAUUAAUAUUAUUGAUAAAAUAUAAAAUUUUGCUAUAUUUUGUAAAUAUUUCGAUUCAAAUUAUGCUAUAUUUGAAAAUACAUCUUUAACUAUAAACCUUCAAGUUUUUAUUUAUCAUUACCUAAUUUGUAAGAGUUAAAGUUAAAAAUAUAUAGAAAAAAAACUAACAUACACCCAAAUAAUUAUAAAGCAAUUUCGAAAAACCAAAAAAGUUCAUUGACCCACAAAAAAAUAACACACAUAACACGAUAUUGUACUAAAUUGACAAAUAUUGUUUAGAUUUUCCUACCCAAAUAUAAACUAUUUUUUAAAAGAUUAUUUGUUACUGGAUUUGGCUACCUAAUAUCUAAACGGACAUUCCAACAAAAAAAAAAAAUGAAAAAUGAAAAAUAAAAGAGAAAAAAAAGGCAAAACAUGAAAUAUUAAAAAUAGUAUAAAUGAUAAAAUAUAUUGAACAUUUUUUAAAAUAAUAAAAUAAAUUAAAAUAUUUACCCACUAAAAUAAAUUUUUGAAUUUUAUUACUAAUAGUCUUCUAUCACAUUAGUAUAACAUAUCAUACUAUACGUUAUAUAAUUUAUUAUAAGUUGUAAAUAUAUCGUAAAAUUUGUUAUUUUAAAAAAAUUUCAAAAUAUUCAGCCAUUUUUGUUUUGUCAAGAAGGAAAAAUAGUUUGUUUGUUCUUUUAAUUAUUAUUACCGUGAAAAAAUCCAUGGUAAUAAAGUAGUAUUUAAACCAUCACAGUAUAAGGAGUAAAUAAACUAUGUUAAAUUCAAACGGAAGAAAAUUUAUAGUUUAAGUUUAAGCGGAAAAAAAAUUGACCUUGAUUUACUCAAAAGAAAUAUAUAUAUAUAUAAAAGAAAAUAAAAUUACCACGUUUUAUCUUGAGGCGUGUCUGCACCGACCUCCACGUGCCGCGUGUGUCAUCUUUUUGUUCUCCUUCUUCUAUAUAUACACACAUGCUUCUCUCUAAAAUAUCCUUCUUCUUCCAUAUCCGCCACGUUUCCUUCUCCACUUGUAUGCUUUUCCAAACCCCUUUCACCCUCGCCGUUUCCGCCUCCUUCUUCGUCUUCGUCCUUCUCUCCACCUGAUCAUGCGGAGCACCUCUGCUGCUGUCAACGAAUCCGCCGCCGCCGAGACCGGUGGCGGCAGUCCAGGUGAGAUCAUGCUGUUUGGUGUCAGAGUGGUGGUGGAUUCGAUGAGGAAGAGUGUGAGUUUGAACAAUCUGUCUCAGUAUGAACAACCUCAUGAUGCUACCGAUGUAAUCGUAAACGACAAUAAUAAGAACGACCUUGUUUCCGUCAAUAACAAAGACGAUGUUGCCGCUGGUUAUGCUUCUGCGGAUGAUGCUGUUCCCAACGCCCGAGGGAACCGCGAACGUGAGCGCAAGCGAGGUUCGAUCGGCAUCGGAUCUCCGAUCGCCUUUGAUUUCUGUUUCUCUUAUUGAUUCGUUUUAAUUUCUUCUAGUUUCUGAUUCUUUUUUUGCCUCCUGAUUUCUUUAGAUUCAAUUUUCGAUCUAUUUAAUUUAGUAGAGUAGCUCCGUUUUAUGAUCGGAACGUACGGAAAGAAACUAGAGUUUGGCUUUUGAAUUUCUGUGUUUGUGUUGAUAAAAUAGGUGUGCCUUGGACUGAGGAAGAACACAAGCUGUUUUUAAUUGGACUACAACAAGUAGGAAAGGGGGAUUGGAGAGGAAUCUCUAGGAACUUUGUUAAGACUCGCACUCCAACUCAGGUCGCUAGCCACGCUCAGAAGUACUUUCUCCGCCGGAGCAAUCUUAAUCGCCGUCGCCGUAGAUCUAGUCUUUUCGAUAUCACGACGGACACGGUAACUCACUAAUACUUUUUCUAAUCAAUUACUAUAUGCUAUUUGUUUGAUUGUUGAAUCUGAUUACGGAAUAGGGAUCUUAAUCCCUAACUUUUCAACAAUCAAGUUUAACUUGGUUGUCAAUUAGGACUCAACUAAUUAGGUUUGUGAUUGACAAAAUCCAUGAUGAAUUACUCUCUAUGAUGAUGGAUCUAAGUUUCUAUUUCAGUCUUACAUUUUCUUAGGCAGACGUUGACCUUUAAAAGACCAAAUUGCUUAAAUGAUUUCAUAUUUCUAGCUUCUGCUCUUUAAUUGACCAAUAAAAGACUUGACUUAUGCAUCUCAAAAUUUCUAUCAUGUCGCUCACCAACCCCCAAAAGUUUGAAUUUCAAGAUGAACUCUGAUUUUUAUUUCUUUUUCUUUGCUUUUGUUAGGUCACGGCUGCUCCAAUGGUUGAAGAACCCUUGCAGCGUAAAGAAAUUCCCUCUCAAUCCCAUUCCUUCACUCCAUCAACCUUACCUGAAAUUUCUAAAAACAACGCAAUCCCAAUAAUACAAACUUUACCAGUUUCAUUUGGGCCAACACCAUUAGCCACCCCAACCAAGAAUCUAAUAGAAAACUGUGGUCCUAGAGAAGUAAACACAGAAAAUGAUGGAUCACUAAAGCUCGCCCUUUCUGAUUCGAUCUUUUCCUCUAAUCAAAUACGAAAUGAAUCACCAUCAUCAUCAUCAUCAUCAGCUUUAUCCCUUCGCCUUUCCUUAACAUCUGACCAAAGAGAAACUUCAUCAAGACAUUCAACUUUCCAACCCAUCCCAAGUUUCAAUAAUGGUGAUGGGAUCAUAAGUGCUGCAUAAUGAAAAAUUUACAGAUCUGAGAGGAAGAAAGAAGAAGAAGAAGAAGAAGAAAUUAUUAACAAUUAGAGACGACAGAAGUUAUUAGGUGACUGAAUCUGAUCUGAUCCAAUCAUGUUUUUUGAUGGCAUCUAUGUAAAAUCUAGAUUCUUCUUGAUGAUUUGCUGUUGUUGUCGGUAGCUGGGUACUGACUGAAAAUAAUGAAUGACUAAACUAUUCUGUCUCUGUGUUAGAAAUGAAUUUAGUUUGAAGGAAAGAAUAUCCAAGUUGGAUAAAAUGGGUGGUGGUUGUUGUUGCAAUAUUGUGAAAAGGAAAGAAAGGGAGGGGGGAAAAAGGAGGUAAAAUUCCCCCUUGUUUUUGUGUAUGAUGUACCAUUAAAAUUUUUGUCAACCUUUGAAAGGAAUCACUGAUGUCUCUCUUCUCUGUCCUAUCGUUUUUAAGUGAUCAUCUGAUCUCUUUCUUUCUCUCCAAUAAUAUGGUUAUUGGUCAGUAUUUUGGGGCCUUGCAUUUUAUAUGUGGUUUGAGGUUCUCCUCCUCUUAUCUUCCAUACCCUUCUUUUUAUCUCAUCAACAUUUAUGCAAUAGAUUCCAUCACUAGGGGAUCUAGAAAUUUGGUUAGAGGUGAGACUUGAACCUGAAUCUGAAUCUGAAGAUAAUAGAAAACAAGUUUACCACUUGGUAGGUUUCAUAUACUAUAUGACGAGGAUUAAGUUGAAGGAAUUUCGAACCCUCUCGACCUUACCUAAAUUUGUUUCUAAAAUAAGGGAAUGAAAAAUUAAAUUUGUUUCUAAAGUAAGGGAAUGAAAAAUUUGUUUCUAAAAAUAAAUUAUCACUACAUUUUUUAAAUUUGCAAGUAGAUAAUCUUUUUUAUAUACACAAUUAUUAAUUAUUUGUCAUAUUUGCAUCACACAAUUAUUAAUUACUAGUUCUAUUAAAUCCUUUUGGUAUGGUACACAAAUGAUAGAUGUAUUAAUGAUGUUUGAAUUUUUCUAUAGGAAUUAGGAGUUUUCUUCUCGGUAGAAAAAACCAACAAAUGAUAAAAUCGUUUAUCAUUCAUUACACUUUCUUCUAUCUAUAUACUAUUUUACUAUUUUUGACAGUUAUGGAAAUUAUAAUUAUGGCAGGAGUUGCAAUUAUUUGCAAAUAGCCCUUAAAUUUAUAUCAACAUAAAAAAAUAUAUAAAAAAAAUCCAUUUUUACAAUUACGUGAAUUUGUUUUGAGUAAUUUUGAGAAUUGGAAAAGAUUGAGGUCAAAUUUUUAAUUAGUGAAAGAGGUAUAAUUGAAAAUAUUCUAGGGACAUUUUAUGCAAUUUGUGCACCUAAAAUCUCUAUUUAUUAUUAGGGUUGUUUGAUGGAUAUAAUUAUUUUUGGAACAACGAAAACUUAUAAAUCAAUUAGAAGUAGAAAGAAAGAACCUUGUUGAAUAUAAAAUGAAAUCCCCACAGGCUUUGAUACUUCUUUUUGCAUGUGCCAUUGUCUUUCUUCCUGUACUUUUAAAAUCUAAUCUUGUUAUCUUUGAAAAUUUUCAAUUGUACCUUCCAUGACUUUGAAAAUGAAAUUAAAAUGUUAGCAUUACUUUAGAGGGAAUCUAUUCACUUAUUUGUUUGUUUUUUAUUUCCCUACAUGAGCUGUGAAUGUGAUGUGUUUAUUUUUCCUUUACCAUUAAUUUAUCGUUUCGAAUCUCAUCUUUCUGUGUUGAACAAAAUCCAUUUGCAUUUAUUAUGAUCUUUUUAUUUCUGUUUCCAUUUAAAUGGAAAAAAAAAGUUGUUUGUGAUUAGAUCUGUGCAUAUAAUUUCACACAUUAGAAAUUAGUCACUCCUAGCCCUUAAAUAAGAUUCUAAUAACCAAACCAUACAGAUUAAAAUUGCACUUUAACCUAAAGUUUCAACUGUAUCCCAAAAAGUCACCAACUUUUCAUUAUCCAAAACACAAUAAUUUACCCCAAGGAUGGAAUUAUUGUGAUAAAAAAGAAUGAACCUGUUAGAAAAAUAUACAAACAGGUGUGAGGGCAUGCAAAGACAUCAUCGUUGUUUGAAAAUUAUAGGUAUUGGUGUUCUAGCCACGGUGAACGAGUGGUACAACCUAUAGAACAGAUUGGUCCAAGUAAUGUCGUGCAGAAGCCAUUUUUCAGAAACAUGGAUGAUAACUGCAUAUAUGCUCGAUUUGAUGGAAUUCAAAAACAAUAAUGAUGAACCAAAGUGUAAAUCAACUUUCAUUAACACUUGAUAAGAGUAUUUGCAAAAUAAAAAAGUUAAAAAACAGUACUUUUGAUCACAGGAGAGACAGAGAGAACUUGGGAAGUCUAGAAGAAGUCACAUUGAAUUAACACAAGCAUUUGAAAGUAUCUGAAAGAUUGCCAGUCACUGAAUUGUGAAACAAGCAAUAAUUUAAUGGCAGUAUAGGACUCAUGUACAGUUGCAUUUACCAGUAUAUAGUGAAAACAUCAUGAUCAGCAAUUCUAUCCAGAUGAUGAAAGCCAAAGGUUAGGAGCAACAUAACUAUAUCCCUGGAAGUGUCCACCAUCUGUUGGGGUCGGAGCUGGUGAGUCGUCAGGGGGCAUUGCUGUCCAACAGUGAUCGAAAUUUGCUGUGCAGUCAUUCCCACUGACAUCCGGUUUGAAUUUCGGUUGCAGCUCCCUACACUCCAAUUUCUUCCAGUUCACAGGUCGAAACCAUUUAUGGUUUUUUAUCUCGUCUCCUCCCUUCGGUCCACUACCUAAUCUUUUAGAAGGCUCCUUUUCUAGCAGCUGUGAAGAACAAUUCCUGUUAUUAUUUAUGAUUGUCGUGGAAAUAAAGAUGACAACAAAUGAAAAUGGAGUUCUUAGUUUACCCCUCUGAGCAAAGAGUGAGCUUCAGUGCUUAGGUAUGGUGGAAGCUUCACUUUCUCUUUGAUUAUUCUUUCUUGAAGCUUCUUUCUAUUGGUGUGUGUGAAUGGUGGCUGCAAAUAGUCGAGAAGAAAGACAGUAAUAACAAGUAACUGUUAACCAUCGGCAGAUCGCUAGGAUGAAGAACACAAGCAUUAGAUUGAUAAAUUCAACCAACAGUUGUAGCAUUGGACUCUAGCCCCUUCACUGAAUUUUCAGUUUUUAAACUUAAAAGAAUGCAUAGCAUCACAAGCAUAGUUGGUUUCCUAUAAUUCUUGCAAUUGCGAAUGCAAUUCAUCCAUUCUUAGGAAAGGAAUGACUGAAUUUCAUGUACCUGGCCACUAAGCAUUUCAUACAAGAGGAUUCCAACACUCCACCAAUCAGCAUCUUUGUUAUGGCCUCUAGAAAGCAAGAUUUCUGGAGCCAUGUAUUCAGUUGUUCCACACAACGAAUUCGACCGACUUGAUUCAUCAAUCUCCUUGGCCAGUCCAAAAUCAGUAAGCACUACCUGUAUAGAUAUUAAAGAUUCAGGAAUAAAGGAAGAAAACUCUUUUUAAUACGUGAUAGGAAGAAAGCCACUACAAGAUAUUAGCUUGACAUUACAUGUCCAUCAGCAUCCAUGAGAAUGUUCUCAGGCUUGAGAUCACGGUGCACAAUGCCACAAUUGUGAAGAUGCGAAACAGCCGAUACGAUCUCAGCUGCAUAGACUCUUGCCUGAUCCUCACUAAUUAAAAAUAAUCCAUGAUCCAGAUCAAAUGGAGUUCCUAUAAUAUCAUGAUUAGUACGAGAACACAAACUUUUUAACUAAGGUGGGAGGGGUACCUGAAGAUCCCCUGCCUGUACAGAUGGUAAAAGAGAUGUCCCCCAUUUAUGAAAUCAAGAAUCAAAUAAAGUUUUGAUUUGGUCUACAAAUAGAAACACUUAGCCUAUCAAAACAUGACACAAGGAGAAACUACUUUGCAAAUUCAUACAUAAAGAUGCAUUCGUCUCAAAAUUCUCAUAACUUAGAAGUCUUCUGUCUCAUACAAGCAAUCAAAAGAUCAGAAAGAGGAGAAAAUUUUAGUACCUGGAAAGAGUAGCGAAGCUGAACAAUGAAAGGAUGAGCAACUUUUGUGAGAAUAUCUCUCUCAGCCUUCAUAUAGUCCACAUGAUUCUUCUUUAUAAUAGUAUCCUUUCUCAUGACUUUCAUAGCAUAAAUCUCAUCAUUAUCAGAACCGUUUCCUUUACAAUUCCCUUUCUUCCUCACCAAAAAGACCUUACCAAACGCCCCUUUUCCCACAACUCGAAGAAUAUCAAAAUCCCCAACUCCAAUCUUCCCCUGUACAUUUUCUCCACUACAAUUUUCAGUUUCACCAACCCUUUUCUCCUCCUCUUGAGCUCCAUCACGAGUCGAGAUUUCUAGGUCAUUUUCUUCUUCUUCCUCCUCCUCCCCUUCGCUCUGUGAAUCGACUUCUCGGAAAAAAGGAAGAGAAGCUGGAGGAGUUAACCGGGGAGAAGGACCCACAAAUGAAUGAGAUCUAUUGUGAAUAACCACUGGUUGUUGCUGUUCAUGGUGUUGUGGGUCCCCGUGAAAAGAUGACGGGGACGGAUUAGUAGGGCCAAAGACAUCGUUGAAAUCAAAGUCGUGAACGGCGGCGGCUGAUGCAGAAGGAGAAGAAGAAGAAGAAGAUGAAGGAAUCGUUAGCUUCGUGAGAUUGGCUACAAGAAGAGAGUGCAUGUUCUUCUGAAUCGAUGCGGACACCAUUGUUGAUUCGAGAAUCAAAUCGAAGAAGGAAACCGUUGAAAUUUAGAAUAAGAUUGACAACUAAAUAAUCAAAGCCAGCCGUGAAUUUCUUCUGGGCGGGCCGAGAGCGUAAGAAUCACAUCGUAAAAAAGGGCAAGAAAUCGAGAUUGAAAGUGAAUGAGAUCAAAUGGGGUGGAGGAAAACGAGGAGAAAAGAAGAAUUUCGAAAAGAGAAAAGAUUAAGAAAUCGAAAAAGAGAUUGGAAUUGGGGAAGAGAAUUCGAAGGUGGGAUCGGAGAGAAAUAGAAGAAGAAGAGCGGAAGGGAAUUGAAAGUGAAGAGGAAGAGAGGGAAAUUGAAGAUUUAUUGACCAAUUAAAAAAUAGGAAAUUGAAGAAUUGAGGUUGAAAAUUUUGAGAAAUUUAUAUCCAAAAUUCCCUCUAAAUUUUCUCUCUGAUUUUCUCGGUAAACAAACACUAAUUACUUUCUAGUUUUGGGGAUUUUCAAAUAUUAAUCAAAUAAAAAACUAUUUAGAAAAAAAAAAAAGAAGAAGAAGAAGAAGAAGAAAAUUGAAGUUUGCAUGAAAUAGUCACGUGCAAGGCAAGAAGUUGGAAUCGUGUGGACGAAAAUUAUGAUAGAAUAUGAAGUUAAUGGGAAACGACGGAAUGAGAAAGGGACAAAUAGUGAAUUGUUGUGGCGGCUCGUUUUAGUAGUGGAAUUCAAUUUAUAAAUUGCACUUUUCUUUUUCUUUUUCUUUUUUACUUUUAAUUUGCUUUGGUUAACAAUUUCUUGAAUGUUUUAAAUGGUUUAUAAUUAAUUAUAAUCUUCAUAAGAUUUUUUUUUAAAAUUUCUAUAUUAAAUGUUGCUAAUAAGAUUAUGAACUAAUUAAAGUAUCUGAACUAACUAAAUAAACAAUACAAUUUACCUAAAAAGAUAUUUUAAGUUGACCAAAUGGUUGCUUCUUAAGUUCUAUAUUGUAUUAUGUAACUAUAGAAAAAUUACGGGUUUUUACAAAAAAAAUAUCUGUAAAAUAAUUACAAUUUUGAAAGUGAAAAAUGCCUCGAAUUAACGGGUGCAAUAUAUUUGGUACACAUUAUUGAACUAUUUUGUUUAGAUUUAUUAAAAUCUAAACAAAUUUUUUUAUCUUCGAACCAAAACCAAUCAAAUAAACAUGACAAGAAGAAAGAGAGAAAAUGACAAACUCAAAUAUUUUUAAUAUGCACAUAAAUUGGUCAACAAAUCUAUAUUACUUUUUAAAUAGAUAGGAAAAGAAUCAAUGAAUAAAAUGGAAAUUAUAAAAUUCUAAUAUUGCAAAUCAAAUUGAAUUCAUUUACACGAAAAAAAAGCGAUAAAAAUAAUUAAACACUAAAAAGAUAAAAAGAUAAAAGAACUUCCAUAAAUAUUUAGCGCUUAGGGUAUAUUAUACCUUUAUUCUAAAAUAAAAAGUUCGUAAUUUAUUAUUAUUAGGAUAGAUAGGAACAAAUAUAUAUAAAGGCAAUGAAUUAUCUCAAGAAAGAAAGAAAGAAAGAAAAAAGAGAAUGAAAUUCAAAUAGCCUACACGCUGCGGUAUCCUUUACCACCCAACGCAAAGCUUCAUCAGAGACACUCAGUAGGAAGUUUCUGCUUCCCCUUUUUCUAUUUUGCCACCAUCUUAUAUAUAUAUAUAUGUCUGUGUGUGUGCACACGUUAUUGUAAUUCUUAUUGGCUCAACAUUGAGCUGUAAUGCGUUAAAUAAAAAACAAAUUAUAAAUAAAAUCUUAAAAUAAAAGAGAGGAAAUGAUUCUAUAUGACAAAAAUGUAUAACAAAUUUCUGAUUUUGUUGAUAUAAUCAGAAAGUUUGCCCUAUUUUGCAGAUAUUUUGAUUUAUUAUCUUAUAUUUAAAAGGUAGGUUGUAGAUUCUGUUGUCUUAAAUAUCUUAUUUAGUUCAAAUUAAUGGCUGAUUUUGAAAUGGUACCUAAAAUAUGACUUCAAAUUACUAGCAAAACGAUGGUUAUAUAUAUAAAUACAUACAGAUAUCAUACAUAUCUUGAUCAUUCAAAAUCAAUAUAAAGGAUUUAAAACACAAUAUUAAUUACUAAAGAAAGAGAGUGUUCCUUUAAAGAGUUCAAAACAGUUUAAAUUAACAGCAAGUCUGGAAAGGUUAAUUUCUCAUAGUUUAUUGUUAGGUAUGGGAGAGACCAAGUCAAAAAGAGGAGUAAAGAAUGUGCCCUGUGAAGUGAACAAAAACACACAAAUUAAACGACUUUUCAAGUUAUAUUGAAACGAUGCAAAGGUACAUACAAUUAAGAGAAUAUAGAGUGUACUAACAGGGCAGGACGUUGCCAUAUUUGUAGAACCAAAGUUUCCUUUUCCUUUCAUUGUAAUAAAUUACAACUGUAUCAAAGCACAUUACACCCCCCAAAAAAAUGACAUCCAAAAAGACAGCAUUGAAAGAAAGAAAAAAAAGAAAAGAGAAAAACCACUCCACCAUCCCAUAGCUCAUCAUCAAUUAAAACAUAUUGAUCACCACCAGUUUCUCAUUACACCCCACCCCCCAUUUAAAGAAGAUAUAAAAAAUGAACAUUCUCCUUAAAAAUUGGAGAUUGGUAAUUGAUACACCAAAUGAAAAUGAAGAAAAAAGGAGGAGGAGGAGGAGGAGGAGGAGGAGGAGAAGGAGAAAAGAAUAAAACCAACCGGCAUUACACCUCAAAGGCAACUACUAUAUGGCAGAAACAACGACGAAGCCCUUGCAAAAUGGCCUCCUCAUUGUUAAAACCCUCCCCCAUUUUUUCCUCACUAUGAUACAGCCAACAGAUUAAGUUCAAGCGGCCUCAAAGCUCCUUGAACCAUCUCUUGAACGUUUCUAUUUCGUCGGCAUACGUCUGAGAGUUCUUCUAUUGGUACAGCAAGCGCAUUUAUAUCGCAUCCUGAGGCUGCAUCUGAUAUCGCUUUUAGGAAUCUCGACCGCUCUUUUUCCGUAACAGCGGUUGAGGGAAUCAAUGAGACACUUUCCUUGGCCCACUCUAAUGCUUGUACUCUAUAAGCUCGAGUUAGGGCUAAUAGUGUGUACGUUACCUGAGAAAGUGGGAUGGAAUCAUCAUAUGCUUGUUAGCAGACAAUGGAGAGUGGCAAAUUAAACCGUGAUGAUAUUGAUAGUUUUGCAAAUUUAACAUGUAAGCAACUAUAUUAUCCACAUGAAAAUAAGAAUACCGGCUCUAAUCGAGAACUUGGCAGUGCCCCCGUUAAGGCUGCAACCAAAAUUCGAAGGAUAACAUGACCUCGAGGUAUCACAAUUGCAUCCCUUCUAGAUAUGUACUGUUCACUUUUGCUUGAAUUUGCAAGAUCAAAAACAUCAGCCAAGAAAGUCAAUAUUGAAUUUGAGGCUUCCCUGUAUAGAAUAAGAAAACGGUCAAUUGGUAUGUAUCGCAACUAUAGAAAUGUAUUCAGAAUAAUGUAAAUAAACAUAUAAACAUUACAGUUGAUUAACAUAGUUUUAGAUAAAAGACUUGAAAAUGAGGAUCUUCAUGAGAACAAGAGCUGGAAGAUAAGUAUAUAAUACCUAUGCUGUACUGUGAUUCCGACCAUUGCACAAUCGAUUAGUGCUGGAAAUACCGAAGAGGGAAUAAAUAAUUGAGGGCAAUAGCGUAUACAUCUCGAAGCCAAAAGAAAGCAAUCAUCGGCAAUAUCUGGUCUAGCAGUAAAUUCCUUCCAAACAAAAGCAAGGACAACCAAUUAGUAAUUUAAAUACCACUAUAAUUGAGGAAGAUAAAAUCGAUAAACUACCUGCAGCCUACCUGAAUAGUUGUGAGAAGACGAGUCGUAUGCAUGAAUAAUGCUUCAAUCAAACUUUGGAGAUAACUUGCGCAAGACGGAUCAGAACCAAAAAUCUGCAAGCAAGAUCAGCAGUUUAACUGUUAGCGUAACACAAUAAUCGAAAUUUCAUAGCGAAGUGAGAUGUAUGGGCCCGAACCUUUAUAACUUCACUAGACAAAUAGAGAAAGCAAGGCUGAUGGUGUUGCUUAUACAGAGCUUGAAUUUCUUCCAACAUCGCUCCAAUUGUGAUUCCCAUAAAUCUACCGGAAGUUCUCACCUACGGAAAGUAAACUAGUAAUUAAUCAACAGAAUAAAUUGUUUCUUUGCACAAAAUAUAGCACUAUUAUCACAAAUAUUUCCCCUCAAUAAGUGCCUCAAAAUACGACAUUGAUAUACAUUUAAAAUCUAGACAUGAAUCAAAGUCGUUUACAUAGGAUGAAGAGAUAUAUAUAAGAACAUACAAUUUGAUCUAUUUCAUUAUUUCAUCAGGAGACAGCUAUCUUACAGCCAUACUCCAGUAUGAAUCAUCAAACUGAACACUUAUUCAUGACAAAUAUUAUCAGAAUUAUACUCGAGGAGUCCAAGUCAAGCGAAUACAAUCCCAGUCAGAUCAAGUUAUUCAUUUAUGGUUUCUUAAUUUUCCAGCCGAGUUUUUGAACCACAAAUGAUUAUAAUAGUGAAUCACCAAAAAAGAGGAUCAGCAAACCUACAGCAUAUUUGCAUGCACGACAAAGAGAUUCCAUCGUCCGCAUGUCCCAAGCACGGCUAGAACCAAAGCAUUAAACAUAACCAGUCAAUAAAUUUUCCAUAGAACAUAAUACCCAGAUAAUGCAAUUAAAAGAUACUUACAUAUCGAAGAUGGCUUUAAAAAUUGGCCAAAGCCUCUGUAUUGCAUCUGCAACAGCUUCAGGGUGAUUUACAUAUCUAAAGUUGAUUCCAUUAAUAGAUUUAGAAUAUAUCGUGAGAAUUAGAAGAAACGGUGAGAAAGGUCAAACAUUUAUCACACCUGAAUAUAUAGGCAAACCGAUCAAUAUGGACUGUUAACUCAUUAGAAGGCUUCUUAUUUAACACUUCCGGGCCUUGAUUGACAAUUUCCUGAUAAUAUACACGAAGUUGUUAUAAUUUGUCACAAGGAUGAAAGAAUAGUUUGAAAGGGAAAAAGAGCCAACCUGCAGAGGAGCAACAACAGGUACGCACAAUGCCUCCAGAGCUCUUUUAGCUUGAUCGGGCACAAGUUCUGUGAUAACCAUGCUGCAAAGAGAGACAGAUGGAGAAGUCAACCUUUAUCCAAACAUAAAAUUAUGUUCAAGCGACCAUUUUCAAUACAUUAUCCAAACAUGUACCUUAAUGCUUCGACUAGGUGCAGCGAGUCCUCAGCAGUCACCUUCAAACUACUUUCUCCAUUGACCGUCAUAUUAUAUAUAUGGAAGAGACCAUCCAAAAAUCCACAAAGCUUUCUCCGGCAAUCUACUUGUAAUAUAAAUGAAUUAAUAAAGUGGAAUAAUGAUACCAAAGCACAAGAUAAUAAAAGUUCGGGCUCUAUCUUUUAUUUUGGGGCUAUGUUGAAGGUAUUCAUCAAAGCGAAACAAACAAGAAACCAAGGAGAGUUUGUCACCCAAUAACCAUUCAUUGGAUGGCAAAAAGGUAACCUUCAAACUCUACCAGUGAAUCUAAGGAUAUGGGAGUAGCAACCACAUAAAAUAAUACUUCUAAAACCACAGCAUGUCGACGCUUGCUAAAAAUGUGAUCUCAAAAUUCACAAUCUAACUGUGCUCUUCUUGAAGAAAGUACAGCAGACUAAAUUACGAGUUAUCUUGACAGCCACCAGUAAAUAUGCUGGUUUUACUAACAUUACUGAAAUGAAACAUAAAUAAUCUAAGUCUACCUGAUCCAGAAAAAUACAGAACUAAAUGAAAGCAAUUUUAAGGAGAUUCUGUACCAGCGCAAAUAUGUCUAAAUGCCAGAGCUGCUGCAGCUGCAGAAUCCUCGGAUGUGCUCAUUCCACUCAUGAGGAUAUCAAUUACUGAAGGUAGUAUCGAUUGCCCACUUGAUGACGCAUCAAGCCACUUCGAGUAUGCUCCAACAGUGUAGCACACUGAAGAUCCAACAAGACACAAAUAUUUAUCUAGAUAAACCAAGUUUGACACAGGACGUCUACUUAUAAAAACAUAUCUACCACGAAAUUGCAAAGCAGUCGAUAUAUCAAUAUGUGUUAGUAGAACUUGAUCAUGAAAAAGAAGUCAAAAAAAGUGUGUGGAUGAUCAUCUAUUAAAUCCACACCUCCAUUUGAAACACGAAUAUUGUAAUAGCAUUACAUCAUAAGUAACAUGUUCCAUCUUUGUUACCUGUCUGAAGAAGUUGUGCUUGCUUGGGAAGUUUUGGAAGUAAACCCAUGACCUGAGAGAAGAAUGGAAAAGACAAGUGCAAUUCGAGAAUUAGAGACAACAGAAGAAAAGAAUAAAAUAUAAGAGAAUAGGCAGAUGUAGAACAUGCGAGAAACAAGAAUUAAACAAGGAACAACUUUCUAGAAAGGGAGAUCACAUUCUCCAAAUAGGCAAGAAUGAGGUGGUCAUUUCCAUUUCUUUCAUGAAACUCAGUUUCUCUUCAAAAGAAAAAAGAAGAAAGAAAAGAAUUGUGUGGGCUUGUUUAACUAAUUGGAGGACAAACAACAGAGAUUUGAAAAUUUUCAUUCUUAGAAAAAUUGUCAAUCAUUAGAGACAGAACAAACUUGGAAGAUACUUUUACCUGUGGCAUUAUUUCAGUCUCACCCACUGAAACAUAAUCAGAUAUAGCUCGGAUGCAAAACAAAGCAGCCUCUGCUGGACGCCAUUCACUCUGUUCACUGUUUCCACAGCUUGUGACAGCCUACAGUGAUAUUUGAAAAUGAAUCAACCAAAUGCAAUAAAUCAAAGGCUUUAAAUCAUGGUUGCAACACGUGAUCCACUAUGACAGGCAGUAGAAACAAAAUUAAUUGAUGUACGGUUAUUGUAGGAAAACUAAUAUACAACCAUUUGGAAAUGAAACUCAUAAGAUAUCAAGUCCUAGGUAGAUGUUUCACCCUAACUUAAACCUAUUUUCUCAACAUUUUUAUUUAAAUAUGGUCUUUAUUUACCACUAAUCCAACCCAACCCACGGUUGGUUUGCAAAUUCUUUUCUUCUUAAAACUUAAUUUCAGUUAGAAUAUAUACAACUACAAAAUGCAGCCCGGGAAAAUUUUUUGAGUCAUACGUAAAUGAACAAGUAACUCGAAGAAAAAGGAUUGCUGUCCAGGAAAAAGAUCCAGGGAAUUCUUUUAUAUGUUGUGUGAGUAAUUUAUUAAGAUGCGGAACAACCAAGGAGAAGCAAGAAAUACACACCUCCACAAGCCUCACGUAAAGAAUUUUCAGAGUCAUAUCACCUCCUAAAACCAAAGCUGCAUCUAUUAAGACAUCUGCAACAGCUGGAUAUAAAACAAAUAUUUAUUUGUUCAGUAACCACUUUACAGAAUUAUACAUGGAAAAUGACUAAAUGAGCACUGGGAAAACUGAAUUGUCUAGCAUUCUACAUUAAAUAAGGGAUCUAUAAAGCUAUAUAAAAAAGAUUUCCCGGUAGGCUGGAACAAUUGUUGCACAACUUAUAAUAUCUGCAAAAAGAACUACACCUUAACAACAGAAACCGUAUCACAAAGCAACUAGUAAAAUUUGAUUGAUCAUAUUCAACAAACUAAGCAAGUUACUACCAUAUCUAGUCUGCUUGAAUUCCUUGAGGUCCUCAUAAGAAAGGUCUUGAUAGUCAUUAGGAUAUUGAACUCUGAAACUAACCUGUGAACACAAUUUUACUGGAAAAUUAAGGCCAAAAUUCAUGUAUGCAGAUUUACGUAAUUCCGUUAAUAAAUCCAGCAUGCAUAUACAUCUGUAAAUCCUAGAUUUCUAGCUAACAAUAAAUAUUGUAGAAAAAAAAGUAGAUACAAGCAGCAAUUUUUCAUGGCAAAAUAUUUGAGUAAUAUCAAUCGAUUAUGAGCAAAUGAGGCCCUAUGGUAGACUACAAUGAAGGGAAUGAUAUUGCAUCGGGAUAAGUACUAAGACUAACCAUAUUUCAGUCAAAAAUCUAGGAAGUGGAAUAUGUUCUAAAAAAAGAGGGGAGAGGGAAAAAAGUUUAGGAGGUGGAGAACUUACCAAGGAUACAAGUGACUCAUAAACUGGACAAAAGAUUUGUAACCUCCUUUUCCUCUCAGCUUCAAUGGAAGCAUCAUUGCCAAAAGAAAUAUAAGCAUCUCUGGAAUAUUAGAACUAAUGUAAGUAAAAUUAGCUUUUAACAAAAUACUGUCGAUAUGUUUGUGGUGUAAAAGAAUCAUAGUUGAUACUAAAGGGCUCAGAAUAAAUAACCUUUUUGUCAAGUUCAACUGCAGGCUGUGCCAAAAAUUAAAGGUCAUGGAGGCAAUAUCAUAUUCAGGGUGUGAAGUAACUUCAAGUAGAGCAUGGACGAUUAACAUCGAUUCAUCAGAACCUAGAAAGUAGACCAAAAACCAAGGGAAAAAACAAAUUGAGAAAACAAUAUCAUGAAGACAAGAAUGUGCCUCAAGUACGUAACAAAAUCUAUUACCAGUAGCAAUCAAUUCAACAUAUGAAUCGCCCAUGUCAGCAAAUAACCGAGCAAUGGCCUUCACAUCUUCUUCAUCCUGAAUGCAGAAAUUAAAACAAGGUUAAUUAACAGUAGAAAUGAAUAAACUUCAGCAAUCACUAGGUAUAUAAAAAAAAUUCCAUUUACAGCCAACAACUUUGCGUAAAAGAAAACAAACUAAAUUGAAAACCCACGGGCAUUACUUUUUCAUUGAAUUUUCCACAAGUAGAUCCCCGCAUACCCCCCCCCAAUGAGAAGAAAUGCGGAAGGAUUACCAUGUUAGACAUCAAAAUAAAGAAAUGGAGAAGGAAUGAGGAAAGCGUUAUCAACAGAAAAUGAAGAUAUCAUGAUACUGCAAGAAAGUGCAACACUAACCAACAAUGAGGAAGAGAUGACAUACAAAACUUUCUUUCGUUUGCAGGGGUGUGUUGUUUUGUGGGUUUUGUGGGAUGAGCAGAAAGGUAGUUCUCUAGAGAUGUGGAGAGGGAUCCUAAUGAGAUUUGGUCUCUCAUUCCAUUCCCUGGUUCUUUGUGAGCUUCAAUUUCAAAGGCUUUUUGUACCUAUUCUAAGAUGUUAGAGUCCUUUUUUUAUAGAGGGUGCUUCAUCCUUGGAUUUGGUUUUUGCAUGCCCUCAUGUUCUCACUUUUUUUCUCAAUGAAAGUUGUUGGUUUCAUUUAAAAAAUACAUAUAAAAAAAAGGUCUCAACAAUCAAUCUAGCUUUCCUAAACCAGAAAACUGAGCACUCUGUCACAUAAAACUAGAGAAAUGAAAGAUGGAGAAUCUGAUGUAGCAAUACCUUUGAAGAAUCUCUAAGUUGUGCCUUCAAAUUCAUAACUUGAGGGACAAUUACUUGAAUUAAAGGCAUAUGCACUGGGAGACCACUUGAGCUUCCAGCUGCUGAAUAGUGUAUCAGUUCAGAUAUAACUGCACAAAAAAAGCCAAAGAAAAGUUUGUAAUAAUUUUCAAAUAACCAAAGAGAAAUUAGUAAUAAUACAUGCAAAAAUCUUAAAGGUAACCUGAAAUCCAAAAGAAUGAACAUGUAGAACAUAAGUUGCAUAAGCAAAGGGUCAAAAUUAAUUAUAUAAACAUAAAUAAAUAUCAAAACACUAGUGAACACAAGGGAAACGUGCUAUUAGUAGAUAAGUCUAGUUGACUGCAAACGAUGUACACUUCUUUUACAUGGAUGUUACUCAUUCAAUUAAUUUUUUAGAAAUGCAAUAAAAGAUAUGAAAGAAUGAUAGCAUUCCUUACACCAAGCUUGCUAAUUAUUUAUCUUUUAUAAGAUCACAUGCAUAUCUCAAUCUAAAAAUGUGAUGGAAGGAGUAUGGGACCGCAAACAUUAUAAUCGGCUACUUGAUGUUCACAACAGAAUUAGUUCAGGCAAUAGAAAAGCAGAUUCAUAUGUUGGAAUGUAGCUUUAAGUUUACUACAACGAGAAACUAAAAGCUUGGGACACGUUCAAAAGCAAUACCGUUUACAGACGCCUCAGAUAGAAGCUCAGAAUUUAAACUCGCUAGAGCUGUAAGUACUAAAGGAUGUGAUGCAAGCAUAGUUCCUGGAAUCCUGAAACCAGAAGCAGUUGCACUAAGCCAUUAAAUUGUAAUGCUCAACUUCCUUUCCUGACUAAAACCAAAUAAGCAGAUUCUGAAAUCUGAAAAACAAUAAUAACAAAUGGAAACUUCAAUCUUUAAUUUCUUAUUGGAACAAACAAGUUUUAGAAGAAAAUUGCUGAUACAAAGCGAUGGGAAAAGGGACAAGGCACCUCAAAAACCAAGGCCAAAUAAGUUAAGAAUGUGUUCCAAAGGCAAAGGACGUGCAUCAUGAGAGUAACGUAGUUAUAAAAGAGCUUAAUAAGAUCCAAUUUGAAGCAACAAACUAAAUACUAAAUGCAACUUACAGAUAAACUAUCGGCCAUUCAAAAGUAUUCAUAAUGUAUUGUCUACCUUUUAGGCCAAAGAUAAAAGCAAAGGGUUAGCACCAUGUGCUGGAAACCCAAUAACAUAAUCAGAAGCACAAGGGAUUCUCUCAAGUUUACAUGUUAGAAUCCAAUGCAUAUAGGACAAUAGAACAAAUCAACAUGCAUCCAACACAUCCUAGACAUCAUCCAUAGUACUCAAAAGAGAGAGAAAGAGAGAGAGAAGAAAAGCUGAGUUCGUAAUAGAGAAAAUAAUAUUAAAAGAAAUGAGGAACAGAGAACUAGGAUGAUCAUCUCUAACUCAUGAAGCUAAGAAAAUUACCAGACAUCUUUUUUACAGCCAUAAUUUGUUAUUAUUACUAUCAUUAUUUUUUUUUUGGUAGGACUCUUUUAUAGCCAUAAUAAACAAAGGAAACAUUACGAAAAAUAUGCACCAAAAGACAACCAUGGAAACUAAAAACUUCACAUGAUCCCAAACAUCCCCCAGUCUUCACUCCUUCCAAGUUUUCCCUGAAAUAGCUAAAGUUCAUAGUACUUCAACUUCACUCAAUCCAAAUAAACCACAAAUUGCUUCAACUGCAUUAGUCUAGAGAAUUUUUUAGUUCAACAAUUAUUGGGGUGGGAGAUCAAACCAUGUCAACCUUCGGAAUAGUAAUUGGUGUCUUACCAUUGAUCUAUGCUCGCAUUAACUACAUUAGUCCGAAGCAUUGAGGAUCACGAAUAGGGCAAUAAAGAGAGAUUGUAUAAUUUUAAAUAACAAAGGAAAAGAAAACACAUUAAUUUUCUUUGGAUACCAGCAUCUCCGAACAGCUCAAGAUCCUGUGUAGAAUAUAAGGCACGCUAAAGAGAAGACUAAAAACAGAUUUCCAGGGGAAGGUAAAUAUCAGAGCUAGCAUGGAGCCAAAAUCUUCUAUUCUAGUGGCCAUGAGAUAAACACCCUCGAAUAAAUUCAUGACGUACAACCAAUCUUCCCAUUCUGAUCAGACAAGUUCCUCCAAGUGUGCCAACGCACCAAAGGUAAUUAAUAUCCCAGCAGUUUCAACCAAAGCUUCUUUGGAGCUUCAAAGAUUUGAGUAUUUCAGGGAUAAUUGAGUGUCUAGUGCCCAAAAGCAGCCAAUAAAUUAACUCUAUUGCUUGAACCUACUCUAACAGUGAUGUUUCCUUUUGUAAAAUCAGUAAGCCUCAUUAUUCGUUUCCAGCAGCCUUUAGGUUGCUACUUCUAAAUUUGUUCUAGAGAACCAAUCACUGGCUGGUUUACCAUGAGACCACUGUACUUCAUGCUGCAAAGAAUUCCCUUCAAAUGUGAAACUAGUACAACGAAUUUCCUUCCAAUCUCCAAUAACCACUUGAGGAAUGGAGCUUUGCUUCUUCUAUAUAUGUUCCCAAGCCCACACCACUACAUUCAAUUCAGCUACUUACUCCCAGUUACCUAUUCAUUCUGUUUCAAAAUAAAACUACAUUAUUCUAGAUUAUUUUGUGGAUAAUUUAAUUAUUUAUCUUUUUCAUGAACUUCAUACAGCUAUGUAACCAAUAUUCAAGUAAGAAACGAGAUCCCUCAACCCACUCCAUGUACAAUAUCCCAGAAUGAAAGUGGUUCAGUAUUCUCUAUGAUACAAGAAACUGAUCUAGAUAUACCCACAUCUACUUCAAAUUUUUAUACCCACGUGUACAUCAGUAUCAUAUACACAUUUAAAAACUGAAGUUCAUUUCUUUAUCUUUUGAGCUAUCUAAUAUAUUGUGUAGAAAGUGACGUGAAGAACAGGCAUACCCAUGCUU
rnacentral:lncRNA from 1 species